rnacentral:lncRNA from 1 species
GGCCAUACUUAAAGCCGAAAGGCUUUAUUUCUCUUCCUCUCAUGUGCUGGCUUGAUUAAGAUAGCAAUCUCUUUUUUUUUUUUUUUUUUUUUUUUUUUUUUUUUUUUUUUUUUUUUUUUUUUUUUUUUUUUUUUUUUUUUUUUUUUUUUUUUUUUUUUUUUUUUUUUUUUUUUUUUUUUUUUUUUUUUUUUUUUUUUUUUAAAUGUGCAUCAAUUAAUUAAUUGGCUUCCAAAAAAAAUCUUCAGUUAUUUCCUUUCCCAAUUCCUUCAAGCAUAUUUCUUCCUAAAUGCUCCGAUUUAAUUCUUCUUUAAUCCCAGAAUAUACCUAAAAUAACAAAAUAAAAUAAACUAAGAUAAAAAUUAACACAAUAAAAAACAUAAUUUACUAAAUUAAAAAUUAACUAAAAUAAUUAGAAUAUUUAAGACCAAAACAAGAAAAAGAUGGAGAAAUUAAUAGCAAAAUAUAUGAAAAGUAUGCACUUAUCAAUUGGGCAGGGGAAAGAUAAGAAAAGAGAACUUUAAUUCUUAUCAUGUGUUCUUUAUAUUAGCACUUACAUCAAAAUUUAUUUCGAAAUACUUGCGGAGAAAUAUCUGAAUUAACCAUGACCUUUCACUUAUACAAAAUGUGUUAGAUUUUUUUAAUUUGAAAUAAAUGAGAUCAUUCAUUAACAACUUUCAUAAAGAACGAAAACAUGAGAUAAAUUUACUUGAUUUGUGGAUGUAAAUUUAAAAGGUUUCCAUGAAUCUCAGCACGUGUAAAAUAAUAGCAACAUCAAUUUAAGCUCAUAAGAUGUUCUAUAAAAUGUUGAAAAUGAUUGAAUCUGUAAUAUUGAGUGUUUGGAAGGCGAGAAAAUAAAGGAAAAAGGAGAAGGAAGUAAAGAGAAGAAGAAAGAAGAUUAUGGAAUUAUAUAUUUGAAUCAAUAUUAUUUAACAGAGUACAAUUACAAUAUUUAUACUAGUUGUACCAGCUUUCUCAUUUUUUUACAAGCUCAAUAUAUGUGUAUAACAGAUAACAACAUUCUUUAAUCAAGUGUGAGUCACCCCAUUGUAACCUUGCAUGCUCCGUAAGCACAUUUAAUCACACAUAUUAUCAUCCCCUCUCAAGCUAAACGGUUCUGGAAGAAUAUUAACUUGCUUCCCAAAUAAUGAAACUAACCAAAAGUUAGUGCCUUAGUCAGAACAUCUGCUGUCUGGUUUUCACUUGGAACAAAAUAUACUACAAUCUUUUUAGCAUCAACUUUUUCUCAGAUAAAAUGAAUAUAUAAUUCAACAAGCUUGGUUUAGCAUGACACACAUGAUUAGAUUGUCACACCACUUGAGACAAAGUGAUAAGUCUGAAAUGCAGCUCAUCAAGUAGAGAUUGAAUCCACAUAACUUCAGAAGUAGGAUGAGCUAAAGCCUUAUACCUAGCCUUUGUACUAGACCUGGAAAAGAUUGACUGUUUCUUAGAAGACCAGGAAACAAGAUUUGGUCCUAGAUAAACAGCAUAACCUGCUACUGACUUCCUAUCAUCUCUAUCAUAAGCCUAAUUUGAAUCACUAAAAUAAUUUAUCUGCAAACUACUGGUGUGAUAGAACUUCAGCCCAAAAUAAAUUGUUCCUUUUAAGUAUCUUACUAGCCUUUUACAAGCUUCUCAAUGAUCUACUGUUGGUGAAGCUAAAAACUGACUUAGUUUGUUAAUUGAGAAUGCUAUUUCAGGUCUAGUAAGAGUCACAUACUGCAAAGCACCAACAAUGCUCCUAUAUUGUGAAGCAUUAGAAAUGACAGCUUUAGAGUUCUUGGUAAGAGAAUGACCAGUAGACAUUGGUGUAGAUACAAGACUGCUAUAAGCCAUUUUAUGUUUAACCAAAAUAUCUGCAAUGUACUUAGCUUGAGAAAUGUGUAAGCCAUUUGAUGUCUUAUUAACAUCUAUCCCAAGAAAAUAAUUCAGCUCUCCCAAAUCUUUCAAGGCAAAAGUAUGAUGCAUAUUACUGAUCAGUUGUUAAACUGAUCCAGUAAUGAUUAUGUCAUCUACACAAACCAAGACUAAGAGUACAUGACCAAUCUUCCAUGUAUAAAACAAAGAAUUAUUUGAUUUGGAAUUAUGGAAACUCUAUUGUGAAACUAGGGUGGCCUUCAGCUAAUCAAACCAUGCUCUUAGAGCUUGUUUCGAGCCACAGAGAGCCUUCUUGAGUUUACAAAUAUGAUGGGGUUUUGAUUGAUCAACAAAACCUUCAGGUUGUGCUAUAUAUACAUCUUCAACUAAGACACCAUUGAGAAAAGUAUUAUUAACAUCUACUUGAUGAAUAGCCUAUUUAUGCAUGACUGCAACACUGAGAACAACUUUGACAGUGGAAGCCUUAACAACUGGAUUAAAUGUUUUUGUAUAAUCUAUCCCAUGAGUUUGAUAGACCUAUCAGGCUUGUAUUUAACUCUGAAAACCCAUUUGUUGUUUACUAUUUUGACUGGUUGUGUAGGCAAGACCAAUUCCUAAGUAUUAUUGGCUUGAAGAGCUUGAAAUUCUUUUUGCAUUGCCUUAUACCAUUUUAGAUCAGUUAAAGCUUGCGAAAUUGAAGUAGGUUUUGAUUGUGUGGUAAGAAGUGUUGCAAUGUAGGAUUUAGGCUUAUAGAUACCGGCCUUGGAUCUAAGGAUCAUAUGAUGACCUAUUGUGUGUCAUAGAGGAUUGAGAGGAAAGAUAAGUUGCAGAGAAAGCUCUUAAGGAAGCAUGUAUCAAUAGGGUUGGAACUGUAUGUAGGGAGCUAAAAAGUUUGGCUAAGAAGAUGACUCUGAAGAUGAUUUUAAAGAACUGCAAGAUUGUACAACAGAGGAAGAAUUUGUACUAAUUACAUGAGGAAAAGAGUUUUCAUCAAACACAAUAUAGUUAGACACAUAGACUCUACCACAGGGGUGCAAGCAGUUGUAGCCUUUAUAAAAAGAACUAUAACUAAUGAAGAUAUAUUUUUCAUUCCUGAAAGCAAGUUUAUGUUUAUUAUAUGGCCUAAGAUUAGGUUAACAAGCACAACUAAACACUCUCAAAAUGGAAUAAUUAGGUUUUUGAAGAAUCGGUUUUUGGUAAGGUGAAAUUUUAUUAAGUGUGGGAGCUGGAAGUCUGUUGAUAAGAAAAAAAAAAUGUAUGAAAAGCAUUCCAUUAGAAAUUUAAUAGUAGAUUAGCUUGGGCCAACAAGGUAAGACCAACAUCAAUAAUAUAACGAUGCUUCAUUUUUUUUUCUACCAUUGUGAUGAUGUAUAAAAGGAUAAAGAUGUCUAAAAUGAAUCCUAGAAAUUAGCAAGUAAAGAAGUUAAGCUUCUGAAUUCACCCCUCAAUAUGUUUGAAUUGUUUUGAUGUGUUUAUGAAGAUGUUUUUCAAUGAAAGUUUUGAACUUAGUAAAUACUUAGAGUGCAUCUGACUUGGUAGCUAAUGGAAAGAUCCAAGUAAAACAACUAAAAUAAAAUAGAAUAGAAAGAUAAUAAGAAUAUCCUUGUGUAGAAUUAAUAUGAGAGGGAUCCCAAAGAUCAGCAUACACUAGUUGUAAAGGUUCUGUAGUUUUGGUUGCUACAAAGUUGAAAUGUAGCCUAUGAGUCUUGCCUUGUUGACAAGCAUUGCAAAAUAACAGAUUUUUAUUUUUAUUCAAACCAGUAAAGUCAUUACAAGCCUUUAUUACAUUUUGAAGGGUUUAGGCUGUAGGGUGACCUAAUCUCUUUUGUAGGAGAUUGAUAUCAAGAGAUGCUGCAGUUAUAGAAAGAACAAAUGGUUGACAUGACUUUUGUGAAGACUCUGAUACUUAGCAGCUAUUGUAAUAAGAACCAGGAUAGUAAGUAAACAAAGACACAAAUUCAGUUGAAGGAGAUUGACAGAGCGAGGUUAAGUAAACUUUAGAGAAUAUAUUAGGACUUUGAACUUGUUAUAGGCCACCUUUUGCAACUCUUUAAGUAAGAUGAUCCCUAUGCUCCUGGCCUUGGCAAAAUAGAAAUUUUCAAGAAACUAAAUAGUAACAUUAUUAUCAGUUAUGAGCUUUGAAACACUAAGUAGAUUUUUAGUGAUGUGAGGAAUAUGUAAGACAUGAUUUAGAACUAAUGAUUCAUAUGAAAUGGUGGCAAGUAAUGCAGAUAUAAUAUGUUGAAUAUUUAGAGCAGUGCCAUUUCUAACAAGUAUUGUCUCAUAAUCAACAUAUAUGGUAGACUUAAGAAGCUUACCAGAGUCAUUAGUAAGAGUAUUGGUUGCUCCACUAUUAAUGUACUAAGAAGGAUCCUUAGCUAUUUCUUGAAAAUGAGCAACUGAAAAAGGAGCUUGAAGAGUAUAUGAUGCUGUUGGAGAAGCAUUGCUUGGACCAAAAAAGCUAUGAGAACCAAAAGAAUUACAACUAGCCAUAGGAUAAACACUAGUUGGAAACACAUGAUUGUAGGUAAAGAAGGUAGCAGGAUCUAAAUAAGCCAUUUGCCUUAAUAAACUGACCCUUUUGGCAAAGGAAAACCACCAGCAAAUUAUGGACCAAAACUUCUGCCAUAACCAUUAAAUGGUCCAAUUCCAUCAUUGUGAACAAAAGAACAAAAAAUACCUCUAUUAUAUUAACCCUGAACAGGUCUGAAGCCCCUAUAAGAGCCUCCUAUAAUAUGAUUCCUUUGUGGUGUGAAAGCAUGAUUAUAUCUAUUUUUGCAUUUAUUAGCUCAAUGUCCUAGUGCAAAGUAAAUUUGACAGAUGAUAUCGAAUACACUACCAUUAGCAUUUUGUCCUUGGCCACCUCCAAUAUUAAAAUUUCCAUAACCAAAAUUACUGCCAUUAUACCCAAAAUUCUUUUGAUAACCACCAGUAUUCCUUCUAGAUUUUGAUUUUUUUAAGCAACAUUUGCUAACAUGUUAUGCAUAACAUUACCAGUAACUUUGCCUUUCUUCUGUUCAACUCGAUUCACAUGACUCAACAUUAAAGAGUAAAAUUCAUCAAGACUAAUUUUAUCUCCUCUGGCUAAUACAAUAGUUACCAAGGAUUUAUAAUCUGAUGAAUCUGAUCUAGUUAAUACAUGUUGCACAAAAUCAUUUAAUUCAAUAGUUUUUCCAGAUAAGGUUAAAUUAUUAGCAAGUCUUUUCAUUUUAGCAAAGUAAUCAACCAUUGAUAGAGCACCUUUCCUAAGAGUUUGAAGUUGCAUUUUCAAAGUCAUAAUUGGAGCUUGAGAUUGUGAAACAAACAUACUCAUGAUAGAAUCCUACAGCUCUUUAGAUUUAUUGCAGUGAAUUACUGUGGAGAGCAAAUUUUAUUGAAUUGAAGACAUCAUCUAGCUCAAAAGAAGUUGAUCAAUCUUGAUCCAAGAAGUAAGGCUUGGAUUUACCUCUUUUGGAGCAGAUCCAGAAGAUGAAUUAACGCCAGUAGUAGCAUGAGGAAGAAAUUGAUCCGGACACACAUUAUUGCCAUUGAUAAAGCUCUCCAAACCAUUGCCUUCGAAGAAGUUAGAACUUGUGUGCGUCAUAUAAUGAAAUUGUUUUGAUCAAGUUUCAUUCGUGUUACAAAACUAUAAAAUCAAGCAUUUGUGGUUUUGAUACUAUGGUUGAAUAUGGAAUAUUGAGUGUUUAGAAGGCAAGAAAAUAAAGGAAAAAGGAAAAUAAAAUAGAGAGAAGAAGAAAAAAGAUUAUGAAAUUGUAUAUUCGAUUCAAUAUUAUUCAAUAGAGUACAAUUACAAUAUUUAUACUAGCUGUACUGGCUUUCACAUUUUGUUACAAGCUUAAUAUAUGUGUAUAGUAGAAUCUAACAACUUAACAGAAUAUAACGUAUCAGCAACAUUCUUUAAUCAAGUGUGAGUCACCCCACUGUAACCUUGCUUGCUCUGUAAUAAUAUUUAAUCACAUACAAUAUCAAAAAAGGAGUUUCCGUUACAAUAAAACUAUGUUUGUUCACCUUUAACACGGGUAUUAUUUGGAGGAACAAUGGAACUUGUGGUGAUACAGUGAACAAUAAUGUUAACCCCUUAACAAUGUUCAUGUCCUUCAAAAAUUCAUGUUGUUAUUUUUCUCAUAAUCUUUCAUUCUUUGCAAAAAUCACCGUAUCAGCUAUUUGUCUAGAGAGUUUAAUCAUCGUUGGAUACAACUUGAUGCAAACCCCACAAUGCUUGUCCCCAGAUUAAGAACAAUCCGCUUAUGGUUAAGCUUAUGAUUAUCAAUCAACUUUUAAUAUCCUCUCUGCAAAGAAGCUACACCAUAGCGGAAUCAUAAUCACUGUAAUAUAUCUUAUCCCGCAUGAGUUGAUCGUGGUUUAUGCCUUCUUCUUCUCUUGUUUUUUUAGACUUAUCACUCUCCAUAAGAAUGAACACGGGGAAAUCAAAUUAGCACAAGGAAAACUAUUUAAGUAAAAGACUACUACAAGAUGAAUCCUUAGAAUGCUUUUUUUGUUAGUUCGUUGAUAACAAGAUAAAUAUAAAAAAAUAAAAGAAAUUCAGGCCCAUGUUUCAAAAUGUUCACGUCCUUAAACUUUUCUUAUUUUUUAGGAACUAUCAAGGACUGCUAUGUCAAUAACCAAGUAAAUAUAUCUCUACCAUUAGAAAACUUUUUAAAACUCUUAGGUUAGGUCUAAUGGUUGGAUCAUAAAAAGACAAAUGUAUAGAUACAUUACUCGUUGAGCAAAGUUAUAUAUUUGUUGAUAAUCUGUUUUACAUAUUUUAUUUUUAUUUUUAAAUUUCACCAAUUUAAAUGUUAUGAAUUUAUUAAAAUAAAUGUGGAAGUUCAUAAUAUACAUCUCUUAGUCUCUCCACUACUAACUCUUUGCUUCCCCAUUAUUUCCACUAUCUCACAGGAGUUAUGAUCUAUAAUGUUUCUAUUAAUUUUAUUUAGUACUUUUGUAAUUAUAAAAGGAGAAUUCAUCUCUUUGUUUUGUACACACUUAAAAUGAAUAAAGUCAUUAUAUAAUAUUUCGCUCUCUCAUUUUUCUUACUUCUCCAUCACUAAAAAAAUGUUGUACUUCCGAAAUCUUGUUAUAACUGGAUGCACUUACGAUUACAAGAUUUUAAAUCUAUUAGUCAACAUAAUUAUGCAUAAUUGUAAAUUGUUUCUCAAUUAAAAUUGUGUGGAGUAGAAGUUAUUGAAGUAGAUUUGUUGGAAAAGACAUUCUCUGCUUUCAAUGUUUCAAAUUUACUCCUGUAGCAGCAAUAUCGAGAGCAGAGAUUUAGAAAGUAUUUUAAAUUACUCUCAUGUCUUUUAGUGACUAAAAAAAUAAUAAACUGUUGUUGAAAAAUUAUCAGUCUCAUUCGACUAGAGUACCUCUUCCUAAAGCGAAUGGUACUUUAGCCAAUAAUCAAGGCCGAGAUGGUAAAAAUAAGAAAUAUUGACCAACCCACUUGAAGUGGAAUAACAAUAAUCAGAAGCAGGAAAUAAAUCCACAAAAGAAAUCUUUAAAGGAUUAUGAAAAUGUUUGCUUUAGAUGUGGUAUGAAAGAACACUGGUCUCGUGUUUGUCGUACACCAAAAUAUUUAGCUGAUCUUUAUCAAGCAUAUAAAGAUGCAAAAGGAAAAGAAAUUGAGACAAAUUUCAUUGGUCAUGAAAGUCCAAUUAAUAUAACUCAUUUGGAUGUUUCUGAUUUUUUUGAAGAUCCAAAUGGUAAAAUUGAUCAUUUAAUUGGUGAUGGACAUGUGAAGACUGAAUAAGAAUGCUAUAGUUUGAGGUGUGUUUUUAAAGUUUGGUGUGCUUAAAAUUUAAAAUAGUACUAGUGUGUUUAAAGCUUGGUGUGUUUAAAUUUAUGUUGCAAGAGUGUUAAUUUUCUUUUUUCUUUGAGUAUUUUGUGAGAGUUUAGUGUGUAAACAAAUUUUGAAAUGUUUUCUUUAUACUAUUUAAAUAUUCUUUAUAUUCAAUUAAUUUAUUUUUUAUCCAUAUGUGAAGAUAAAAAUGAAUUUGAACAAUUACUUAGUGAAUAAUGAAGAUGGAUGUUUGGUGGAUAGUGCAACAACGCACACAAUUUUAUGGAAUAAAAAAUAUUUCCUUAAUUUAAUAUUAGGUAAGGCUAAUGUGAAUAUGAUAAUUGGUUAUGUCAAUCUAAUUGAAGGCUCCAGAAGAGCCAAUACUAUCUUACCAAAUGGUAAAAAAUUACAAAUAAAUGAUGCAUCAACUAGAUGGUCACAUGUCUCUUCAUUUUCUAAUUGUGGUGUUGUAUUUGUUAGAUUUCUUGCUCAAAUCAUUAAAUUAAUAGCAUAAUUUCAUAAUUUUCCUAUUAAGAAAAUUAUACUUGAUAACACUGGUGAAUUUACAUCUAAAUUUUUUUAAUGAUUAUUGCAUAUUUAUUCGAGUUGAUGUUGACUUACAUACAAAAUGAUUUAGCUGAAUCUUUGAUUAAGCAUUUACAAUUAAUUGCAAGACCAUUAAUCCUUAGAUAAAAUUUACCUUUUUCAUGUUGGAGGCAUGCAAUACUACAUGCUACAUCAUUAAUUCGCAUUCACCCAAGUUCUUAUUCACCUUUCACAACUUGUUUUUGGCCAACAACCAAAUAUUUUUCAUUUGAAAAUUUUUAGACGUGCUAUUUAUGUCCCAAUUGCUCCCCCACAGAAAUAAAAUGUGUUUGCAACAAAGACUUGGAAUUUAUGUUGGCUUUGAAUCUUUAUCACUAAUAAGGUAUCUUGAACCUUUAAUUGGAAACGUUUUUACUGCAUGAUUCAUGGAUUGCCAUUUUGAUGAGUAAGUUUUCUUGUCGUUAUGGGGAGAAAAGACAAAAAUAAAUGAAUGAUGUGAAAUUACAUGGCAUGCAUCAUCAUUAUCUCAUCUUGAUCCUUGUACAAAUCAAUGUGAACUUGAAGUUCAAAAGAUCAUUCAUUUGUAAAACAUUGCAAAUCAAAUUUCUAUUCGUUUAUUGAUUCAAGAAAAAUAUUAAAAUCACGCAUUGCAUCUAAAAAUGCUCUAACAUGUGUUAAGAUCCCCAAAGGACAACAUGAUAAAACUAAUGAAAGUAAAGCACUUAUGAAAUGUGGAAGAUCAAUUGGCUCAAAAGAUAAAAUUCCCUUAAGAGGAAAACAUAAGAAAAGUUAAAAAAUGAAAUUAGCAAUCCAAAAGAGUCAUUGCCUACUAACAAUAUAACAAAAAUUGGCCUAGAAGAAGAAAAUUUGUGAAUAACUGAAAAGAAUUAGUUUUUAUUAAAGAAACACAAAAUAAUGAAAUUACAAUUAGUUUUGUUGGUACAAAAAAUCUUGGGAUUGAAAUGAAAUUAUUAUUGACGAUAUUUUUUUCAUUUCAUAUUACCCUUAAAUAUCAUGACUGAUGAUAAGGAUCUGUUAGAGUGCAAUUUAUGCACUAGUUUUGCAUUGUUUACUUCCCUUAAUAUCGAUGUUUUGCAUUUAAUAAUAGUGAUUCACUUAUGUUUUAUUUUUGUAGGUGCAAUUCUAUUGAUUGGUGCUAAAAUUGAGCUACAAGAUGAUGUUUGAGGAUGAUUAUUUUCUUGGAGAAAUUAUGAGCGUCAGAAGAAUUUUGUUGAUAAGGCGUGGACGCGUGCUGUCAACUACGGACCUGUAGUUUUUAGUUUAACGUGUUUUGUAUUUUUAGUUAUUUUUGUAAUUACAAAUUUAAUAUUUCAGAUAUUAGUAUUUUAUUUUAAAAAGAAAUCUAGAGGAGAAGAGAGAGGGAGUAUUUAAGGGAGGAAUCUAUUGUGAAAAAUGAGACUUUUUAGAAAGGAAGGAAACCCUACUUCUAAAAUUUUCUCUUCUCUCUUUGAAGAACUAAAUCUAUUAUUCUGGUUGAAGGUUAAUGAAGCUUUGAUUCAUCACUACUGUGAGAUCUUUUUUAUGCUUUAAUUCUUUUAUUACUUUUUGGGUAUUUGUUUAUUCUCUGAAUUAUUUUCAUGAUUAUGUUUGUUAAUUAGAUAACUGGCCACUAUUUAAUUAUCAAUUUAAUCUAUUGUCAAUUAAAGGAUUCAUCGUAUGAAGAUUUUAAUGUUUGUGACAAAUAACAUAGCAGUGAGUUGUGUUAUGAGAAUAAACAAUCUAAUUUAAAUGAACCAUCGUAUGCGUUUGUUGAUUAGGAUUUGGGUCUCUCUGGUUUUUCAGGUUGUCAAUUGAUUAAAUCCUAUGAUCGUAUCUAGGGUUGUCUAUUGAUUAGGGAAAUAACCAACAGUCGUACCUUGGUUAUCGACUAGUUAAAGAGAGAUUGGCUAUUAGAGGGUCUCAGUAGCUAUAACCGGUCUAUUCAUAAGUAGUAAUAAUUUAUAUUUGAAUCAAUGAUCAGUAGUCGAAUCAAGCUGAGUUAAUUCCUUCAACCAGAGCUUUCUCCAAUUUGAAUUACAAUUUUAAUUUUCGUUCUUGUUAUUUUAAUUUGAUUUUUAUUAUUGUCAACAAUUCCCCCAUUUUGCAUUUUAUAUUUUAAAAGGAUUUAAAUAAUUACCGAUCUUUGUGGACACGACCCUGCUCAAUCACUAUACGCAAUUUAUUUAGAGUAGGAAUUUAUUUUUGGUGGCUUCGAUAACCAUCAAAUUUUGGGAUCCAUACCUAAAAACUAUGGAAGAAUGUCAACAUAGAAAUGAUUGGUUAAAGUGGAGCUAUUCAAGCAAAGCUAAAUUCACUUGCAAAACUUAAAGUAUUUGGACCAAUAGUCCUAACACCUAAAGACGUCAAAAAAAAAAGUAUUAGAUAUAAAUGGGUAUUUGUUAGAAAAGAAAUGAGAAAAAAUGAGAUUGUGAGAUAUAAGGUGAGAUUAGUAGCACAAAGUUUUUCUUAAAGGCCUGACAUUGAUUAUGAGGAAACAUAUUCUCCUAAUAUGGAUGCAAUUACAUGUCGAUUUCAAAUUAGUCUGGCAACCUCUGAAGGACUUGAUAUGCACUUGAUAGACGUUGUGACUGCUAUCUAUAUAGUUAUACCGAUAUCGAUAUUUAUGAGAAAAUCCCCGAAGGAUUUAAAAUGCCAUAAACAAACAAAUGUAAACCUUGUAAUUUAUACUCUUUGAAGUUACAAUAAUCCUUGUACGAAUUACAACAAUUCGGCAUAUGUGGUAUAAUCGCCUAAACAAUUAUUUAAUUGAAAGAAUGAUAUGUAAAUAAUCUAAUUUAUCCUUGUGUUUUUAUUAAAAAAAAUUUGAAAUUGGAUUUUCAAUAGUUGCAGUUUAUGUUGAUGAUUUAAUGUUGAAAUUUUUACAAUUUCCAUAAAACAAAUAAACUCUAAUUUGCAUAAACUUUAAUACCUAAAAUCAUAGAAUAUCAUGAUUUUCACAUCAUCAUAAUUGAGAGAAAAUAUACCUUGAUCUAUAGCAAAUUUUCUUAAUCAAAUCUCAUUGCAAAGAAUUAACGAUUAGCAAAAUUGAGUUCUCUCUCUUAACCUCUUUAGAGUAGCUCACUUUUUGAGAGAGAAAAAAUUAACGUGAUAUCCCUUUUUUAUAUUGGGUGGAGAGAGGACCAAUUUUAAUAAAAUCAUAAUUCCCACUUUCCAUCAAAGUGGGCAGUUAGUUUGUUCUCAAUUAACUAAUAGGAUUUCAGCUCCUAACUUAUUUUAUUAUUUAAAUUCUAAAUUAUUACUAAUUUAAUAAUUUGGCACGUGGGCCACUAUAAAAUAUUCAAACAUUCUCCCAUUUGGCCCAUGUGGCACAUUUAAAUUAAUGGUUUAAUAAUAAUAAACGUUAUGAGCAUAAUAAGAGAUAAAUCCUUACUCGCAUUGGUCAAACAUAAAAUCAUCAUUAAACAAAAAUUUAUAUGGAUCAUAGCAAUUCCACAUCAUUAUUUCGACAUAAUUCUUUCUAUGUAUCACAAUAUCAAUUUUAUACUUAACAUGACUUGUAAUGGGAAUGAAAAUAAUAACGGUCCAACAAUAAUAUCUUAGUCAGAGACAAGACUUGUUAACAAUCAUAUCAUCAUUCAUGUAUAUACCAUUAAAUCAAAUAGUAUGUAAAAGAAUCAGAAACAAUAUUUAAAUGAGCUCAGAGUAUCAAAUACAUAAAAAGCAUAAAUGUUUAAACAUAAUGUCAAUAAAGACAUCCAUUAAUACCUAUCAUUUCAACAUGUUCGCUAAAAACCUUUGGAUUUAAUCUUUUUGUUAAAGGAUCUACAAUCAUAAAGUUAGUGCUAAUGUGCUCGAUUGACACUAUUUGUUUAUGAACUUCUUCUUUAAUAACAAGGUACUUCAAUUAUAUGUGUUUAGCACCCUUCAAAUACUUGUCGUUUUUAGAGAAGAAGAUUGAUGUGACAUUAUCACAAUAAAUCUUUAGCGACUUGGCAAUACUAUUGACAAUUCUAAGCCCUGAAAUAAAGUUCCACAGCCAUAAUUCAUGAACAGUGGCCUCAAAGCAAGCCACAAACUCAAAUUCUAUAGUGCAAGUAGCAAUGACGAACUAUUUUGCACUUUUCCAUGAGAUGGCUCCUCCAGCCAUCAUGAACAAAUAGCCAAAUAUGGAUUUUCUGGUAUCCACAUAGCCAGCAUGAUCUAAAUCUGAAUACCUUAUUACUUCGAGAUGAUCAAAUCUCUUAUAAUUGAGCACGUGAUCUAUUGUUCCUUGCAAGUAUCUCAAUACUUUCUUUGCAGCUUUACAGUGAUCCAAUCUAGGAUUACUUUGAUAUCUGCCCAGCAUUUCGACAACAAAAUUGAUGUCUGGCAUGGUACAUGUCUAGGUAUACAUUAAGCUUCCAAUAAUGGAUGCAUAAAGAAUCAUUUCCAUAUGUUUAUGCUCCAAUUCAUUUUUAGGGCAUUGCAUAAGGUUGAACUUAGCAUUGCAUAAGGUUGAACUUAUCUCCUUUCUAAAUUGGAACAACACUUGGAGAGCAUUUUUCCAUUCCGAAUCUCUCUAAAACUUUAUUCAUAUAUGCUUACUGAGACAACCUUAACAAUCUUUGUCUUCUAUCAUGGAAUAUCUCAUUCCAAUCACAUAGGAUGCCUCACUUAUAUAUUUCAUUUCGAAGUUCUUAGAGAGAAACUCCUUGGUCUCAUGAAGUAGACCAAAAUCAUUAGCAGCAAGUAAAAUGUCAUCAACAUACAUAAUCAGACAAAUAAUCUUACUUCCACUGAUCUUGAGAUAUAUGCAUUGAUUAAUGAUAUUUUUCUUAAAUCCAAAUGAAGUGAUAGUAUCAUUGAACUUAAGAUACCAUUGUUGGAAGGCUUAUUUAAGUUCGUAUAUUGAUUUUUUUAAUUUACACGCGAUGUGUUCCUUUUCUUUUGCUAAAAAACAUUUAGGUUGGGCCAUAUAAACAUUUUCCUCUAAAUUUCCAUUUAGAAAGGCAGUUUUCACAUCCAUUUGGUGUAACUCUAAAUUAUAAUGAGCCACCAAUGCCAAAAUAAUUCUAAAAGUCUCAUUCCUAGAGAAUGGUGAAAAGGUCUCUUUAUAGUCAACGCCGUCCUUUUGAGUAAAACCUUUGGCAACAAGUCUAGCCUUGUAUCAUUCCUCGUUGCCAUUUGAAUCACGCUUGGUCUUAUAGACCCAUUUACACCCGAAUCGUUUACAACCAUCAGGUAAUUCAACAAGGUCCCAAACAUCAUUGUGAUCUAUUGAUUUCAACCCUUCUUUUAUGACGUCUAACCAUUUGUUAAAAUUAGCACUGUUUAUGGCGUGAAAACAAAUUUGGAUCUUCAUUAAUUCUCAAGUCAAAUUCUGACUCUUGUAAAUAAACUGCAUAAUCAUUAGAAAUAGCAUAUCUUCUUUGUCUUUGAGAUAUUCGUAAUGCAAUUUCUUGUGGUUCAGUUGCCAUAGGUUCAUUAUUGACGACUUCGUUAUGGGUUACUAGAUUUAUUAUUUCUUUUUCUUGAAAGUCAUUGGUAUGUUCAACAACUGCAUGAACAACACCUUUAAAAGAAGUAAUAGGCAAGGGAGUUUGCACUCUAAUUUCUUGGAUCUCUAACUUUCGUGGUUUCAUACCCUCACUAAUUUCGCCAUUUUCAAUGAACCUAGUAUUUCCAGAUUCAACAAUUCUUGUACUAUAGUUAGGACAAUAAAAUCAGUACUCUUUAGACUUCUUUGGAUAACCAAUGAAAUAUCAACUAGUUGUUCUUGAAUCCAAUUUCCUUUCAUGCAGAUUAUAAAUCUUUACUUCUGCUUGACAACCUUAAACAUGUAGGCGUCUUAAAUUGGGUUUUCUUCAUGCAUAGUAUUCUUCAUGUGUCUUAAAUUGGAUUUUAUAGUUAGGGCAAUAAAAUAUAUACCAUUUAGACUUAUUUGGAUAACCAAUGAAAUAUCCAUUGGUUGUUCUUGAAUCUAAUUUCCUUUCAUGCGGAUUAUAAAUCUUUACUUCUGCCUAACAGCCCUAAACAUGCAGGUGUCUUAAAUUGGAUUUUCUUCAUGUAGAUUAUUCUUCAUGUGUUUUAAAUUGAAUUUUAUAGUUAGGGCAAUAAAAUCUGUACAUUUCAGACUUCUUUGGAUAACCAAUGAAAUAUUCACUGGUUGUUCUUGAGUUCAAUUUCCUUUCAUGCGAUUAUAAAUCUUUACUUCCGCCUGACAACCCUAAACAUGCAGGUGUCUUAAACUGGGUGUUUUUCCUGUCCACAGUUCAAAAGGAGUAUUUGAAACUGCCUUGCUAGGAACCCUGUUUAACAAAUAAGUCGUAGUCUUUAAUGCUUCCAUCCACAGUGAUAAGGGUAAAGACGAGUAACUUAACAUACUCCUAAAUAUAUCCAUUAAGGUACGGUUAUGCCUUUCUACUACACAAUUAUAUUCUGGUGUACCUGGCAUUGUGUAUUGAGUACAUAUGCCGUGUUUUUCAAGGAACUUACCAAAUAGACUAGGGCAUUGUCCACUCUCAGUAUAUCUUCCAUAAUAUUUACCACUUUUAUCAGACCUGAAAAUUUUCACAUUUUUAUUUAGUUGCCUUUUAACCUCAUUAAUAAAUACGUUUAGAGCAUCCACUGAUUAAGAUUUUUCAUACAACAAAUAGAUAUAACCAUAAUGUGAAAAAUCAUCAAUAAAUGUGAUGAAGUACUUUUCUCCACUAAAAUAUGAAACAUCAUAAGGCCUAUAUAUGUCAUGUGUAUAAUCUCAAGAAGUUGUGUACUUCUUGUGGCUCUUUUUUUACUUGUGUAUUUUGUUUGUUUUCUCUUAAUACAAUCCACACAAAUAUCAAGAUAAGUAAAAUCCAAAUUUGGAAGGAUUUUAUUCUUUAUUCAUCUCUCUAUUCUUGCUUUGGAUAUGUGACCCAAACGCUUAUGCCACAAGUAAGCUGAACUUUCAUUUAUUAUACCACAUUUAGUGCCAACAUUAUGAUACAAGGUCAACAGAGACUCAGCAAAAUAUUAUCAAGUUUUAAUUUGUAUAGACCAUCAGAAAGAAUUCCAGAACCAAUAAUAUUAUUGUGUUUAAACAAAAUGAAACAUCUAUUCCAAAUGUAAAAAAAUAUCCAACAAAAUCAAGUUUGGACAAGAAAUUAAAUUAUGAGAAACAUAAGGAACAUAAAGAGUCUGAAAAAGCUCUAAAUGAUGUCCAGUAGCUAAAACUAAACGAUAAGUUCCAUUGCCUUCAAUUGGAGUUUUAACCCGGUUCCCCAUGAAAAUAAACUUCUCAUUUGGGUUUAUAGUUUGAAUCGUAAGAAAUCCCCGUAUUGUGUUUAAAACAUAAGUAGUGCAUCCAGAAUCAAUCCACCAUGUGUUAUAAGGAAGUUCAGCUAAGUUUGAUUAGAAACAUAUUAAGGAACUAGACUUACCUUUCUUUUCGAACCAAGCUUUAUGCUUUAGGUAAUCUUUAGAGAAAUGUCUAUGUUUCUUGCAAAAAUUUCACUUCUCAUUCUUGAUGUCCUUCUUGUGGACUUAGAUGGGUUGCACUUUCAGCUUUGAUGCUUCUUUCUUGCCCUUAUGAUAAUUUUUUCUUUCAGGCUUCUUUUCAGCUCCUUUAUGACCCAUGAGGUUAACUGAGUGAAUUCUGAAAUACAAGUGUGCAACCCAAGAGGGGGGGGGUGAAUUGAUAUUUUAAAAAAAAUCCUAACAAUACCACACAAUAAUCCAAUCUAACGCCUUAAUGAAUUCGAAAGCAAUAAGUUCAAUAAAAACACAAUCACAAAUAAGUAAGAGAGAAGAGGAAUAAACACACGAAUUUUUAUGUGGUUCGGCAAUCCCCGCCUACGUCCAUGCCUCCAAGCGAUCCACGCUUGAGGAUUUCACUAUCCAAGCCUUUUAAGGCUUCAAAUGUUUAGAAUUGACUUCAAGGUGUCAAUGAACCUUUACAACAAAUAGAUUAUCUCCCAAUCUCUUCACUCAAGUGUCUCACACACUCAAACACUCACAACUUUAUGAGGAAAUAAAAAAUUAAAACAAAACUCUCUCAAAGAGUAGAUAUUCAAAAUGAAGAACAAGAGAUGAUUCAAUGUUUUAUGAUUUACGAAUUGAGAGCUCAAGAUAUCUCAUGUGCUUUUUGUUUAUGCUUACUAGAGGGCUUGAAAAUGAAUUGGAUUUGAGUUUAUAUAGUUUGAGCUCAAAAACUAGCCAUUAUGUGUUUUCUGAUGAUAACCGGAUCGCCGCUUUCAGAAUCCGGUUAGCCGCUUUUUUGUUACUGUUACAAUAAAAAUUUAAAUUUCAGAACAUCCGGCAUCCGCUUACGAUAUCCGGAUAGCCGUUUAUGCUCCAGAAGUUUACUGCCCAAAAUUCAGAUUACCGCUUACCAUAUCUGGUUAGCCGCUUGCUACAGUAACUGCUACAGUGAAAUAUUUUUUAAAAUUAUAGUUUGACCCCAAAACUUUAUAAAACUAUAUUAUGGCCCAAAAUGUUAUGAAAGCUUCCAAACAUGUCCAAUUUCAGAAUUUUUAAAUAAUGCUUUGUCAAUCUCAAAACUUUCUGAAAUUUUGAUUUCACCCAAACUAUGUGAAAUUAUAGAAUGACCUAAAAUAUUUAAAUAUUUUCAAAUAGGUCCAAAAGUGAAAUUUUAAAACAAUAUCAAAGGUUUUAAAAUACUUUCAUUUUAGUACAAAACACUUUAAUUCUAUAACAUCAUUUUCUUAUUAUAAAAGCACAAUUCAUAAAUAUUUGUUUAAUCAACACAUGUAGUUUGUUAUCAUCAAAAUCAAUAUUUAUAGUCAUAUAGGCUAACAAUCUCCCCCUUUUUGAUGAUGAAAAAACACAUUAUAAAAAUUUAAGCUAGUUAUGAAAAGCUCCCCCUUAAUUAAUGCAAGGUUAAAAAACUGAUUUGAAAAUUAUUUAAAAGACUCCCCCUGCAUACAUGCAUACUCCCCCUGCAUACAUGCAUAUUUUUAUAACACUUUUUAUAACACAUAUUAGAUUGUUCUCCCAUUCAUCAUAAAAAAGAAUAAAAGUUCCCCCUAUCAUUCAUCAAAGUCGCAAUACAAGCACAUUAGUUCAAAAAUAUCCAUAAGCAUAAGGAAAUCCAUAUAAUCCAAAACAAAUACAUAAUCCAAAAGCAUAAUAACCAUCCAUAUAGUCGAAAAUAAAAGGACAUAAAGCAGUAAAUGAUAUGUAGGCGUGUCCAAAUACAAGCAUAAAACAAAUACAUAAUCCAAAAGCAUGUUCCCCCUAUCAUUCAUCAAAGUCGCAAUACAAGCACAUUAGUUCAAAAAUAUCCAUAAGCAUAAGGAAAUCCAUAUAAUCCAAAACAAAUACAUAAUCCAAAAGCAUAAUAACCAUCCAUAUAGUCGAAAAUAAAAGGACAUAAAGCAGUAAAUGAUAUGUAGGCGUGUCCAAAUACAAGCAUAAGAGACUACUGAGGUAUAUAUAUAUAAUAUGAGUGGCUUCAAAUAAACUCCACUAGCACUUGAACCUUUGUUUAAGAAAAAGACCAGCUGUCCAUGAAUGAGCUCUUGCUGCUGCUGCUGAAACUCAGUCUGCUGCACAGAGAGUGUCCGCACCUCAUCCAUAAGCUACUGAAGAGUAACCUCUUCAGAGGUAGGAGGCUGUGGAGCUGAUGAAGCGAAUACAGAGGCACCAAGAACUGAAGCAAUCACAGGAGGAUCUCGGCGUCUACGCUGCCCCCGAAAUGAGAGUGAGAAAACGGGUAGCUGAUCGGCUGGAACCACAACAUUAAGUGGCCGAUUAUCACUUGGAGUAAGAAAGGUAAACUUGUUUUUAGUGAAUUUGACCGAAGUGCCAUUUUUCACUUAAAGCCUAAGCCAAAUAUAGCGUCAUCCCCGAUACCCUUAGACGAUCUACACGACGGUUCUUGAAUUGGUACAUCAAAAUAUUUAAGGAUUCGUGUAAUGAAGUGACCAUAUGGAAGGGAGCGGGUAAUUAAGGCAAGUAUGGUCAAUAUGGUUCGGAUGAUGGUAUAGCCCAAGUUAACCAGAUGACGUCUAAGAAUACAAUCAAUCAAAGCAACGUCCAUAUGGGAAACCUCAUCCAAAUGUCCUGAUCUAGGAAGAACAAUGGACUGAAUAAAACUAAGCAAAAUACGAGUUUGAAGACAAAGACACUGGGUUCGAAAAUGAAUGGUACAAUCUUCAACAGAAAGAUCAUUACGUCAACAAAUAUUACAAACGACGUCAACAUGAACAUAACUAUCAAGUUUAGGAGAUUUCCUAGGCGAAUAAAUUUCUAGGCCAAAAUUGGAUGAUCUUAUGAUAGAGUUUAACAUGGAAACAUCAAAAUCAAUCAUAACUCCUCUAACAUUGGUGAUUACUCGAGUCUUGUUCUCCGCGGAAACGUCCAUAUUCGAGUAAAACACUUUCACCAAGUCGGGAUAAAGAUUCUCCUCAAUUAUAAGUGCAUCAAUCCAACCAACAUCUCCUAACAAUUGAAAUAAGUUUCUAUGGCUAAUAUUGAUAGUAUUAAUCCAAUCUGGUAAAACAUAAAACGUAUUGAGUACCUCACGAGUCCUGAAGCUUUGUUGAAACCGUUUGACUAAAUGUUUCUUGUUCUGAAAGUGUGUGGAUUCAAAAUUGGAUUGAUUGGAGGUGCCCCCUGCUUGCCGUGACCGGUUGGUUUGUUGAAUAGGUUCUUUGCGUUUUCUUCGAACCGGCUGUGAGCUUGACAUUGCGAUUUUGAUUGAUUUGAAGAGAAAAUGAGCAAAGAGAAGGAAGAUGAUGAGGAUUGAAAGAGAUUUUGAGAAGUAAUUUGGUUAAAAAACGACUUGAGAGGAAGAAUUUUGGAGAGAGAAAAAUUCGUUUGAAACCCUAAGGUAAAUUUCAAAUCUAUUGAAUAUGAUGUUGAAAACAGAUUUUAAAGAAGAUUUCGGACACAAGAAUGGAUGUGGAUUAGGUUUUAUGGAUUAAUUUGCAUAAAAAGCGAGUGGAAAAAAUGGAUUUUAAAGAGAAAACGAGAGAGGAAGAAACGGUCUUUAAAGAGAGAGCACAACUGGUUUGCCGAAAAAGUGAGAGGAAGAAGAACAGUAUUAAAAGGCCUCGAAUCCGGCUUGCUGGAUUUCACUAACCGGCUAACCGGUUAGUGUCCAGAAUCAUGAAAGCCAAAAACGGCCUGCCGGUUGCGUGAUCCGGUUUUCCGGAUAGUUUCCAAAAUGUGUCAAGAACUCAGUGUUAUUGCUUCACGAAUUCGGCUUUCCAGAUUGAAGAACCGGUUAGCCGGUUGUGAGGCAGAACCAUGCAAAUCGUAACCUGUAUUCUGGAUUUGAAGAACCGGUUGUUCGGUUUUAAGGCAGAGUGGAAGCUUAGCAAAUCCAGUUUUCCGAAUUAAAUAAACGGAUGAUCGGUUUUUGUCCAGUGAACUCCAAAACACAUCCAGCUUUCCGGUUUUGUAAAUCCGGUUAUCCGAAAGUUGACCUGAGAGCAAUCAAUAAGAAAACGGUUGGCCGGUUGAAAGGAAGCAAUAUAUCGGUUUAGACUUGAAAAACUUUUUGCCUCUAAUUGAAUUCUGGCAAGCUCUUAUACUUGUACUAUACACAGUAAUUUAUUUUUGGCUUAAAAAUUAAUCAAUUUUAAAUCAUUUUGUGAUUUAAAACUUUUCAAUAAGUCAUUCAAUACAAGAACCAUAAAUGCAUACAAGAACAAAACAUAUUCACUAAGUCAACAAAUCAUAAUUCAAUAUGCAACAUUCAUAAUUCCAAGCUCAUGUCUUAUCUUUAUAAAAUGCUCCUCACUAAAAGGUUUUGUAAAGAUAUUCCGCAAGUUGAUUUUCAGUAGAGACAAAUUUAAUCACAACAUCUCCUUUUUGAACACGAUCUCUUAGAAAAUGAUGCCUAAUUUCUAUAUGCUUAGUCCUAGAAUGUUGAAUUGGAUUUUUGGAUAGAUUAAUAACACUAAUAUUGUCACACAAGAUAGGUAUUUGAUCAAGAUUAAUACCAUAGUCUCUAAGGGUUUGUUUCAUCCUAAGAAUUUGUGCACAACAACUACCUGUGGCAAUAUAUUCUACUUCGAUGGAUGCGGAGACAAUAGAUAAGAAAGAAGAGGAAAGAAGAUGGUCACAAAAGAAAGAAAGCACAAUCGGAAAUAAUACAAGUGCUGUUGCAGAUGUUAGAGCAACCAGUGCUGCAGCAAUUGGGGAAUGACGCGGGAGAAAAUAUAGGCGCGGUCAGCAAUUAAAUCACGAUCUGCAUGUUUCCCAAUUUAAACACAUGCACGCUCAUGGGUUUCGGUUUUAACCUAAUAUUGCAAUAUUUAAAGGAAGCAUACACCACAUAGCAGGCGGCAGAGAAUCAUUAUCAUAAAAAGAAGACAAUUACAAAGGCGAGAAGAAGAAGAAGAUUAAAGAGUGCUGUUCGGCUUCAUCGAAGAAUCGAGAAAGAUCCUUAGACUUUCAUCGUGCUUAAUUCAUAUUAUCUUUCGUCUUUUGAUUGAUUGAAUGUAUUCUGUGAUCAAUAUCAUUAUAUUUAUUUUUCUCAUCCAGAGUAUGAACUAAAUUUAAGUGUAGUUGAGUGACAAAUAAUCCAAUUGGUUCUUGACUGUUCUUAUAUGUUGCUAUGAUAAUGUUGUAGCAUUAUACUCUAAUAGCUUUUAUGAACAUAAUUGUUAUUUCAGUUGACCACCCAUUUAAUGGUUUCAGUUAAGAUAUAGCAACAAAAGGGCAUAUCUUAGCGGAUAUUAUUGGAGUAUUACUUGUUCUUAAAUUGAGUUUCCUGGAUUAGGUUAUCUUAAAUCCCAUAAGGGCAAUACUUGAAUUAAGAUUUGUGAUAUCCUAGACAUAGGUGUUCAUCUUGUAGGGUAGAGAGAUUAAAUGUCAUAAAGCCAUACAUUAAAUUUAUGAGCAACUGGUCAUUGUUAGUAGAUUUGAAAGUAUGAGAUUUCCAACAUGCGAUAUCUGCGGAAGUAUAUUUGUUCUACCCGGUACUGCAGCACUUAUCAUAAACAACUGGUGUUAAUUCGGUAAUCAACAGUCACCCCAUUAGGAGAAUUUGAUCAUUCAACUACUACGUUCUCAAUUGAUUCUUAAACACAAUUAACUUAGUUUAUUUCGUACAAGUAUUAGUUUAUUUCUAUCUCUCAUAAUUAUUGGUUACGGGAGAAUAAUUUGACAAGUGUUUGUUUCGAUCUUUAGUUGAUUUCAUUAUUGUGGUUGCUUUAGCACUUUGAGUAACAUCAAUCCAUGUGGAGACGAUUUUGAAUACUCAUUACUUUAUUACUUGUUGUGUACACUUGCACUUUGGCAUUGAUAAUAAUUGAUUAUAUAAAUCAACCAACAAGUUUUUGGCGCCGUUGCUGGGGAUUGAUUGUUUAUUUCUAAAGUGUAAAGUAAAUUAUGUGGGUAACUUCAAUUGACAACUUCAAAACAACCCAUAUUCAAAUAUUUACAACCCAGGCUGGAAACAACACCCAAAUUUCUCAUGGAGCAAUCAGAAUUGAAAUGCUCCAGCAUUGAAUGGGCUAGGUAAAAACACACAGCCACAACCACCUGGUUUUCAUCAACAAAGCCAAGGGCAAAAACAUGUCAAUCAGGAUCCAAUCACUUCAUUGGAAGUAUUAAUUAAGGAGUACAUUGCAAAGAAUGAAGCAAUUGUGCAGAGUCAAGCUGUAUCCUUGAGAAAUCUUGAAAACCAAAUGGGACAACUAGCUACAACAAUGAGCAGCAGAACUCAAGGAAGCUUACCUAGCAACACAGAAGAUCCUAGGAGAGAGAGCAAAGAACACUGCAAAGUGAUUAGUCUGAGAUCUGGAAAGCAUGUUGAUAUACCAUUUGAGGUAACAAAAAAUAGGAUGGAAUGCAAUUCAGCUCAAAAACCAACUCAAAAGGGAAGUCUGUUACAACAGACUCCCCAUCAAGACACAGAUGCAAGGGAUCCAGCUACAGCAAUUGCAAAAGAAAUUCAACCAGAACUUGCUGAAAAAGAAGUUACAACACCAAUAGCCACAACCUGUACCAACUUAAACAAACAGAGUUUGGUACCUCCUGAAUCUAACCAGUAGUUUAGACAUCCACCACCCUUCCCUUAAAGGUUCUAGAAGCAAAAAUAAGACAAGCAGUUCAGUAAAUUUCUGGAAGUGCUGAAGCAAUUGCACAUAAACAUACCUUUUGUGGAAGCUUUGGAGCAAAUGCAUGUGAAAUUUCUACUGCUGGAGUAAAAUUCUGACAAAAUUAAAAGAUCCAGGGAGUUUUACAAUACCAUAUUCUAUAGGGAAUAGGUAUGCUGGUAGAGCAUUUUGUGAUCUGGGAGCUAGUAUUAAUUUGAUGCCAUUAUCUAUGUUUAAGCAGCUUGGAGUAGGGGAGUGCAGACCAAAAACUGUCACUCUGUAAUUGGCUGACAAAUCUCAUGCAUAUCCUGAAGGAAAGAUAGAGGAUGUACUGGUGAAGGUUGACAAAUUCAUUUUCCCUGUGGAUUUCAUUGUGCUGGACUUUGAAGCUGACAAAGAAGUGCCCAUUAUACUUAGCAGACCCUUUCUAGCAACUGGAAAGACUCUGAUAGAUGUACAGAAAAGAGAGCUGACCAUGAGAGUAAAUGAUCAGCAAGUCACAUUUAAUGUACUAGAGGCUAUGCGAAACCCUGAUGAAAUAGAAGAUUGCAAUUUCCUCAGUGUGGUGGAUCUUGUUAUAGCAGGCAUAGUGGAUAGAUGCUGCAGUGAUGUACUUAAUAAAGUCACCACCUUUGAGGAGGUUGAAGAGGAAGAUGUUGCAGCAAUUUAAACUGAUUGGAUAGACAAACAACAAUAUAAUAGGCACAACAUAGCUAUUGAAUACCUGAAUCUUUUAGACAGGGAAGUAAAAACAACUUUACCAUCUAUUGAAUCACCCCCUAGUCUUGAAUUAAAAAUGUUACCUUCACAUUAAAGUAUGCUUAUCUUGGUCAAAAUAACACACUCCCUGUAAUCAUUUCUUCUACUUUGGAUGCAGGUCAAGAACAAAGCCUAAUGGAUUUGCUGGGAAAAUACAGAAGAGCAAUUGGAUGGACCAUGGUAGAUAUAAAGGGUAUCAGCCCAUCAAUAUGUAUGCAUAAGAUCCUGUUAAAAGACUGUUCCAGUAAUUCGGUGGAGCACCAGAGAAGGCUGAAUCCUAUUAUGAAAGAAGUGGUAAAGAAGGAAAUCAUCAAAUGGUUAGAUGUUGGAAUCAUAUACCCAAUAUUAGAUAGCUCAUGGGUAAGCCCAGUUCAGUGUGUUCUAAAGAAAGGAGGGAUAAUAGUAAUGGUUAAUGAGAAGAAUGAACUCAUUCCUACAAGGACAGUGACUGGAUGGAGAGUGUGUAUGGAUUACAGGAAGCUCAACAAAGCCACAAGGAAAGACCAUUUCCCACUUCCAUUCAUAGAUCAGAUGCUGGACAGACUUGCAGGAAAACAAUACUACUGUUUCUUAGAUGGGUAUUCAGGCUACAACCAGAUUGCUAUAGCACCAGAGGAUCAAGAGAAGACUACAUUUACCUGUCCUUAUAGAACAUUUGUCUUCAAAAGAAUGCCAUUUUGGCUACGUAAUGCUCCAGCAACAUUUCAGAGAUGCAUGAUGUCUAUAUUUUCUGAUAUGGUAGAGCAAACUUUAGAAGUUUUCAUGGAUGAUUUCUCAGUUUUUGGAGAAACAUACAGUAAUUGUUUACACAACUUGGAAGAAGUUCUUAAAAGAUGUGAGAUGACUAACUUAGUACUUAAUUGAGAGAAGUGCCAUUUCAUGGUGCAAGAAGGAAUAAUGUUGGGUCACAAGAUAUCCAAUGAGGGUAUUAAGGUAAACAAAGCCAAGAUAGAGGUAAUAGAUAAACUGCCACCUCCAACUUCAGUAAAGGGGAUUAGGAAUUUUCUAGGUCAUGCUGGAUUCUAUAGAAGAUUCAUUAAGGAUUUUUCCAAAGUUGCCAAGCCUCUAUGUUCAUUGCUGGAGCAUGACAAACCAUUUCACUUUGACAAAGAAUGCCUGCAAGCAUUUGGAAAAUUAAAGAAAGCCCUCAUUACUGCUCCAGUAGUUAUAUCUCCAGAUUGAAAUUUACCAUUUGAAUUGAUGUGUGAUGCUAGUGAUCAUUUUGUGGGAGCAGUAUUAGGGCAAAUGAAGGAUAAGGUUUUUCAUUCCAUAUAUUAUGCAAGCAAAACUUUCACUCCAACACAGAUCAAUUACACCACUACAGAGAAAGAGUUGUUGGCAGUAGUUUUUGCUUUUGACAAAUUCAUAGCUUACUUGGUAGGUACUAAAGUAACUGUUUACACAGACCAUGCCGCCAUCAAAUAUUUAAUUUCAAAGAAGGAUGCCAAACCAAGACUAAUUAGAUGGAUCUUAUUGCUUCAAGAAUUUGAUCUGGAAAUUAAAGAUAGAAAGGGGACUGAGAAUCAAGUGGCAGGCCACUUGUCAAGGUUGGAAGGCAUUACUGAAACUUUUCCUGAUGAACAGCUGUUGGUAGUUCAACAAGCACAGAUGCUGCAGCAGUCAGAAUCUCCUUGGUAUGCAGACUUUGCUAAUUAUCUAGUAAGUGGGUUGCUACCACCUGAGCUGAAGUUUUAAGAGAAAAAGAAGUUUCUUUAUGAUGUUAAGAGCUACCAGUGGGAUGACCCACAUCUAUAUAAGCUAUGCUCAGAUCAAGUAAUAAGAAGAUGUGUUGUAGCAGACGAAAUACCUCAAAUACUAGAGUUUUGUCAUGCUGCAGCAUACGAAGGACAUUUUGGAGAGCACAGAACAGCUGCCAAAAUUAUGCAAUCAGGUUAUUUUUGGCCCACUAUUUUUAAAGACGCUUAUGACUUUGUUAAAGGUUGUGACAGAUGUCAAAGAACAGGGAACAUAACUAGCAGACAUGAGAUGCCAUUGACCAACAUACUGGAAGUGGAAGUUUUUGAUGUUUGGGGAAUAGAUUUUAUGGGUCCCUUUCCCCCUAAGGUGCACAUUUUUGCAAUAAAAUCUUUGUUGCAGCAAUGAUAAAAUAUGGAGUCAGACACAAGGUAGCAACAACUUAUCACCCACAAUCAAAUGGUCAAGCUGAAGUAUCCAAUAGAGAAAUUAAGAAGAUCUUAGAAAAAGUGGUAAACCCAAUAAGGAAGGAUUGGUCUUUACAUUUGCAUGACUCUUUAUAGGCCUAUAGAACAGCAUACAAAACCCCACUCGGCAUGUCUCCUUACCGAAUUGUUUAUGGCAAGGCCUGUCAUUUGCCCCUAGAGCUCGAGCAUAAGGCACACUGGGCACUGAAGAAACUAAAUUGGGAUAUGAAUGCUGCAACAGAACAUAGGAAGCUUCAACUUUGUGAGCUUGAUGAAUUAAGGUUAUUUUCGUAUGAAAAUGCUAGAAUUUAUAAAGAGAAAACAAAACACUGGCAUGACAAGCAUAUUCAACAUAGGCAGUUCACCCCUAGUCAAUUAGUGUUGCUCCACAAUACAAGACUAAAAUUGUUUCCAGGAAAGCUCAAGCCACGAUGGUCUGGCCCGUUUAAGCUGUUAAAAUCUUACCCUUAUGGAGCUGUUGAUCUUGUGGAUGAAGAAACAGGCCACCAAUUCAAGGUUAAUGGACACAGGGUUAAGCAUUACAUACAUCCAGCAGCAGAAGGUUCAAAGGAGGUGUUACUCCUUCAAGAACCCAGCUAUUGAGCAAAGACAAAAGGUCAGGCUGAAGGACCUUAAAUCAAGCGCUUCAUGGGAGGCAACCCAUUGAGGAACCAGCCCCUAUAAACCAAUUUUGAUAUCCUUUGGUUUUAUGGAUAAAUAUUCCUCUUUACUAUUUUCUCUUUAAUAUUUUCGUUAAUUGUGUUUUGCCAUUUUCACCAUUUAUUUUUGUCAUUUUACAUUAUUGCAUUCCUUAUUUUCGAUUUUAUUUAAUCUAUUUAUUUUCAUAAUUUUAGACUUAAUUUAAGUUUGAAAUAAAAGCGGCAACUGAAUCUCAUAUUGACAAGUGCAAGCAUUUGGUGGCAGAACUCAGAGGACAACAACCACGUGUCAGACGCUUUGGUAUGAAUUUUGUACCCGUUGUUGGAAUGAGCAAAGGGGGGGCUGCAGCAACAAUUUUUCCCGUUACAGUAAAUUAAGGGCUGGAGCCUUCACUUACCGUUGGAGAUGAAAUCGUGACAGAUGGACGCUCGGAUAUUGAUAGAAAUUGAGGAAACAAAUCUCCAAAAUCACAGUUUUAAUUUCAAUAACCGAUAAUUUUGGGAUAUGCACAUUUAAUUCAAAUAUUUUAUUCCCUCAAUUAUCUCUAAUUACUUUAGUUAUCUUCACAUUACAAUCCACUAUAAAUAGGAGUCACUGUACUUAGUGUCCACGCCACUCUUCCUCAUCUCUUUCGCAAGUCCAACUCUCCUAACUCUUAAACUUUUCUUCUCUUUUUAUUCUCAGAAACAGUAGCUUCAACCUGUUACUGCUGUAGUAAUGCCGAGAUACAAGAAGACAGCCAGCCGCCUCAAAGAUCCAUCACGAUUCCAGAGUUACCACGCUAAGGAAAAAUACGAAGAAUUCAUAGAGCCACGUCAGAUUCUGGAAGAGAAAGGGUUUCAAUUUCUAGACCAACUCACUGGAAUUGUGAAAACAAUUCAUAUUGCUGCAGCAAAGCGAGGAUGGCUAGAGUUUUGCAAACACCCUCGCAACCCUGUGCUACUGGUGGUAAAAGAAUUUUAUGCCAAUUUGGUAAGCCCUGAUCAGCACAACAUAUGGGUAAGAAAUACUCUGUUCCAUUGGACUCCCGUGUUAUUAAUGCUUUUUAUAACUUACCUGCUGAGAUUACUUGUGAGUAUGCUAAAUUGCGUGAUAAGUUAACCCUGAAAAAGUGGACUACCAUUUUUACAACUCUGACCAUCGAAGGGGCAUCAUGGGUUAACGAGGAAGGGCGUGUGGUUAACAGGAUAGAUUUGAAACCUAUUGCUAAGGUGUGGGUGAAAUUUUUGAAAUCUAGGUUUAUGCCCACCACUCACACUACUACAGUUUCACAAGAAUGAUUAGUUUUGUUAUAUGUCCUUGUUUGAGGGCUGCCCAUAGAUGUGGGUAGCAUCAUUGCAACAGAAAUCCGAGAGUGUGCAGCCAAAACUCACCGAACAGCUGCUUUGUUAUUUCCUUCACUUGUCACCAGCAUUUGUGUAGUUUCAGGUGUUCGUCUUGAAGCCAGCGAUGAGCAUGUCAAAAAUGAUGGUGCCUUUACGGCACGAACAAUUUAAAGAGUUGCUGGCGAGAGUGCUGGAACAACCACUGAACCAACUGCUGUAACAGGAGCACGACGAACUCUUGGCUUAGAAUAGACCAUCCAAGCACUCAGCACCAGUAUCCACCAAUGUGUGGAAGCUCAACAGAGGGAAAAUGGUCGGUUUUGGAGCUAUCUACAACACCUGGAGGGCCAACUACACUAAUUUGCUGAAUACAUGAAACGCAAUCAUCGAAACUUCCCUACUUCCAUGCUCCAGCAAUACAAUUUUGACACCAGUACCACAGGUGCUCCAGCAGAAACCACUGAAGAAGCCACUGCUUCAGAUGAACCAGCAGAGCAAGCUGCAACUGAACCACCAACAGAAGUUGACUCAGAAGAUGCUGCACCAUCUGACCCACCUGAGGAGGAAGGUGACAAAUCUGAGACUGAUAGCUCACCCUCGAGGUAGAGGAUAAUUCAGAGCAAGUAUAUGAAGAACCACCCAUCCCAACCCAGUCCAAAACUAAGAAGCGGCACAUUAUUCCAGACAAGGAAGAGGAAGACCUUGACAUGGAGCCUCUUAUUCCAGUACUUGCAGGUAAAGGAAAGGCCAAUGGUAAAGCUAAAAUGGCAACACCUCCAGCCUCUAAUGAUGAGAUGGAGCAAAUCGAUGUUGAACUGGCUACUGCAGCAUCCAGAGCCAUGCCUACAUCUGAGCAAGCCGAACAACUACCUGAGGUCAUUGCUGCCAUCACAGCUGAGGGCCAGGCAGCUGAUGCAUUGACCCCAAAACCUCCACAACAACCUCCCAGCAAGCCUAUCCGCAGUAGUCCAAGGCAACCCAACAAACGAAAAGGCAGUACAUCUGCGGGUCCUGCUACAGCAACCCCAGCUACAACUCCUCUCACCAGCCCUACAGCGAAAAAGACAAAGACAUUGCCAGCCACCUCCCCAAAAGCUUCACCAAAGGAUAAGCUGCGUAGUGCCUCCAAGAAGCGCUGAGAGCAUCACAUCAUGGGCUGCAGUCCCCACCACAGAGGAGUACUUUUAUCUCAUUAAUUGCCUACCUGUUUGUUCUUAAAAAAAAAUGUUUGUCUAUUUGUGGGUUUUUAUUUUGUUUGCGUGUGAAGACACAACACCUCUCAAGUUUAGGGAGGUUGUUUCCAAAUGCAUGUGUUUUAUAUAUGUGUUGUGUGAAGCUCUAUUAUCUGUUAUUUGCGUAUGGAUUUGAAAACCUAAUGAAGAUAAAUUGAGUGCUAUUUAUGAGAAUGUCAAGUAGAGAUAGUUAUAGAUAGAAGUGAAUUUCUGUCCCAACACUUAACCCGUGAUUGAGUUGUGUGAGACUGCUAGAGCAAAACCAAAAAGAAUAGAAACAAAAGUCUUAAGUGUUGAAGGGAGAAGUGUUGUGCAAAUUUUAAUGUACUCGCAAGCGCACGAAUCUAUUGUAGUAUAGAUCUAUGGUGACGAGUGUCGAUCCCACGAGGAGGUGGAUUUUAAUUGUGUAGAAUUAAUUUUGUAAAUGGGUGAUUGGAUUUAUGGUGGAAAUGAUUUGGAAUAUGCUAAAACUUAAAUUAAAAUGGCGAGAAUAAAUUCUAAAAUUGGAAUUGCAAUGGCGAGAAUAAAUUGAAGAUAAUUCUAUUGAAAUGACGUACUUGGGUAUCUGGAUCCAUAUCAACAUGCAUCAUGGGCUAAAUAUUCCUUAUUAAUGCCAAUUAAAUCAUGAGGGGGGAAUCCACACCUCAUGAACCACGCUCUAAUCAAUAUGGUGCUAAGGGCUUAUCGUGCCAAAUAAUAAUAACCUUAUACUAGAGAGCCGGUAUAACCAAAGCGGUAUCUAGACAAGACUAUUAUUAUUUGUCGACGAGAAGUCAAAACAUCCACAAAAACUAGAGGGGAAAAGAAAAUAAAUUUACCAAAUAAAGCCCACUGCUGUACGGCCAAGGCGGAUGUACGGUACAGCAGNNNNNNNNNNNNNNNNNNNNNNNNNNNNNNNNNNNNNNNNNNNNNNNNNNNNNNNNNNNNNNNNNNNNNNNNNNNNNNNNNNNNNNNNNNNNNNNNNNNNNNNNNNNNNNNNNNNNNNNNNNNNNNNNNNNNNNNNNNNNNNNNNNNNNNNNNNNNNNNNNNNNNNNNNNNNNNNNNNNNNNNNNNNNNNNNNNNNNNNNNNNNNNNNNNNNNNNNNNNNNNNNNNNNNNNNNNNNNNNNNNNNNNNNNNNNNNNNNNNNNNNNNNNNNNNNNNNNNNNNNNNNNNNNNNNNNNNNNNNNNNNNNNNNNNNNNNNNNNNNNNNNNNNNNNNNNNNNNNNNNNNNNNNNNNNNNNNNNNNNNNNNNNNNNNNNNNNNNNNNNNNNNNNNNNNNNNNNNNNNNNNNNNNNNNNNNNNNNNNNNNNNNNNNNNNNNNNNNNNNNNNNNNNNNNNNNNNNNNNNNNNNNNNNNNNNNNNNNNNNNNNNNNNNNNNNNNNNNNNNNNNNNNNNNNNNNNAUGGAGUAAAUCAUGGCCAUCGGAUUAAAAAUAGUUUGGACGCUCAGGAUUGCGCCACGUCAUCAGUCAACAGUCCACGGUUUGACCACGCGGAUGAACAGUAACACGGUUUGACCCGACUUUGAAUAGUAACGCGGUUUGACCCGGAUGAACAGUAAUGCGGUUUGGUUGAAAAUAAUCCUGUGUGAUGCAUGUACCGUACGCGAGAUUUUUCGUCCACUGAUAUGCUGCCACGUCACCAUCAACAGUACAUAAGAAUUUUAGUCCAACAGGAUCGUGACACCUCAUCAGUCAAUGCCACGUCAUCAAUCCGUCUAUGUGAACAGUGCCGUGAACAGUAACGUACACAGUCCUGUGUACGUGAAUAGUACCGUACAUGUGAAUAGUGUCAUUUUUCCUUUUAUGGUCCUCCUAAGGUUUUCGACCGUCCUGAGUUCAAAAGUGAUGUCCGUUUUGCCGUCUGAUCUCUCCUUUAUUGUGAAAUGACUAUAAUGCCCCUAGAAUACAUAAAUUACUUAAUUAAAAUAAAACACACGUAAUUAAAUCAUAAGAAUGUUAAAUACAUAAAAGUAAGGGUUGUUAGUAAGACUUAAAAUGUAAAAUGACGGUUUUCUCCUUUAUAAAUAUGCAUUUUCUAACACUCAACAAGAAGCAUGUUGAUUGACUGUGAUAGUUAUGAAAUAAAACUCUGCUCCAAUAACUUAAGUUGCUGAGUAACUAGAUCUGAGUAUGCACCCCAUAUGCAGAAGUGUGUAAAAAGACAGCGAGAGUUAUGAGCAGUGCUGUAGUAUAUAUAUCUAAAAAAAAAAAGAAAAGAUCUCCACAUAUCUAAGGCAUAUGUCCGCUGUCUAAGGCAUUGAGUAACCAGGUCUGUUCAUGAGCCCCAUGUUCAGCCUUGAGUCAAAGAUAUCUUGAGAUAAAACUAUACCACAGAUAUUGCUGCAGCAACUCUGAUCUGGGCAUUGUUUGAGUAAUUGGGUGUCAUCAUUACAAGUGAUCGACAUUCACAUGAAAAAUAAAUGUUACAGUAAGGAGGUUGAUUAUCCCACAGAGUGUCAAAGUUAAAGCUAUUACAAUUUGAAUAUGUGGAAUUUAUGCUACCCCUUGUAAGAAUGAAGUAUAUCACUGCUGAAAUUUCGGCAGUCCUUUAGUAAUGUUACAGCAUAUCGGGAAUUCAAUCACAAAGGCAGCACACACACACUAAGGAUAGAAAGACGCUUAAGUCUAGAACUGAUCUACUAUGGGCAUUUUGUAUGAUUGGGAUUAUAAUCUGAAGGUGGAAGAAUAUGUGCAAGUUUGAUAAAAGAACUGAAGAUUGUGUGCAUGUUUGUUUGUGGGAAAUGUUGGUAUGUGUCAUUACUUGAGGACAAGCAAUAAUUUAAGUUUGGGGGUGUGAUAACUCUAGGAAAUGAGAGUUAUUACAUCUGUUCUAGACUUGAAUAAAGGGCAUUUAGAGAGUAAAUAAUGUGUUUUGAUUACAUUUUGGUGACCUUAGGCAUAAACAUUCAUUUUAGUUGAGUUGUAACAAGUUUUGCUUGAAUCAUAGUAAUUUAUGCUAAAAACAAGUUUUAAAUUCAUGAAAGGAUGCAGAGACAAUAGAUGAGAAAGAGGAGGAAAGAAGAUGGUCACAAAAGAAAGAAAGCACAAUCGAAAAUAAUACAAGUGUUGUUGCGGAUGUUAGAGCAACCAGUGCUGCAACAAUUGGGGAAUGAUGCGGGGGAAAAUAUAGGUGUGGUCAGCAAUUAAAUCACAAUCUGCAUGUUUCCCAAUUUAAACACAUGCACGCUCAUGGGUUUCGGUUUUAACCUAAUAUUGCAAUAUUUAAAGGAAGCAUACACCACAUAGCAGGCGGCAGAGAAUCAUUAUCAUAAAAAAAAGACAAUUAUAAAGGCGAGAAAAAGAAGAAGAUUAAGGAGUGUUGUUCGGCUUCAUCGAAGAAUCGAGAAAGAUCCUUAGACUUUCAUCGUGCUUAAUUCAUAUUAUUACAAGUGUUAUUGCGGAUGUUAAAGCAACCAGUGCUGCAGCAAUUGGGGAAUGACGCGGGAGAAAAUAUAGGCGCGGUUAGCAAUUAAAUCACGAUCUGCAUGUUUCCCAAUUUAAAAACAUGCACGCUCAUGGGUUUCGGUUUUAACCUAAUAUUGCAAUAUUUAAAGGAAGCAUACACCACAUAGCAGGCGGCAGAGAAUCAUUAUCAUAAAAAAAAGACAAUUACAAAGGCGAGAAGAAGAAGAAGAUUAAGGAGUGUUGUUCGGCUUCAUCGAAGAAUCGAGAAAGAUCCUUAGACUUUCAUCGUGCUUAAUUCAUAUUAUCUUUCAUCUUUUGAUUGAUUGAAUGUAUUCUGUGAUUAGUAUCAUUAUAUUUAUUUUUCUCAUCCAGAGUAUAAACUAAAUUUAAGUGUAGUUGAGUGACAAAUAAUCCAAUGGGUUCUUGACUGUUCUUAUAUGUUGCUAUGAUAAUGUUGUAGUAUUAUACUCUAAUAGCUUUUAUGAACAUAAUUGUUAUUUCGGUUGACCACCCAUUUAAUGGUUUCAGUUAAGAUAGAGUAGCAAAAGGGCAUAUCUUAGCGGAUAUUAUUGAAGUAUUACUUGUUCCUAAGUUUAGUUUCCUGGAUUAGGUUAUCCUAAAUCUCAUAAGGGCAAUACUUGAAUUAAGAUUUGUGAUAUCCUAGACAUAGGUGUUCACCUUGUAGGGUAGAGAGAUUAAAGGUCAUAAAGCCAUACAUUAAAUUUAUGAGCAACUGGUCAUUGUUAGUAGAUUUGAAAGUAUGAGAUUUCCAACAUGCGAUAGUUGUGGAAGCAGAUUUGUUCUACCCAGUGCUGCAACACUUAUCAUAAACAACUGGUGCUAAUUCGGUAAUCAACAGUCACCCCAUUAGGAGAAUUUGAUCAUUCAACUACUACGUUCUCAAUUGAUUCUUAAACACAAUUAACUUAGUUUAUUUCGUACAAGUAUUAGUUUAUUUCUAUCUCUCAUAAUUAUUGGUUACGGGAGAAUAAUUUGACAAGUGUUUGUUUCGAUCUUUAGUUGAUUGCAUUAUUGUGGUUGCUUUAGCACUUUGAGUAACAUCAAUCCCUGUGGAGACGAUUUUGAAUACUUAUUACUUUAUUACUUGUUGUGUACACUUGCACUUUGGCAUUGAUAAUAAUUGAUUAUAUAAAUCACCCAACACCAAUCAAAUAUCGAGAAAUUCGUUUGACAGCAAGCAUGUGUGACUCUUUAGGACAAGAUUGAAAUCUAGCAUAUAAGCAUACACUAAACAUAAUAUCAGGUCUACUAGCAGUCAAAUAGAGUAAGGAUCCGAUCACACCUCGAUAAGUCUUGAUGUGAACUUCCUUAUAUUUCUCAUCUUUGUCCAGCUUGAUGGUAGUACUCAUUGGAGUGCUUUUUGCCGUUUCAUUAUCAUAGCCAAAUCGUUUGAGUAGAUCUUUUACGUACUUGGCUUGGUUUAUGAAAAUUCAUUCCUCGUUUUGUUUGAUUUGGAGUCCAAGGAAUUACUUCAACUUUCCCAUCAUACUCAACUCAAAUUCUUUGCUCAUACAAGAUGAAAAUUCUUUACACAAUAAUUCAUUAGUAGAACUAAAGAUAAUGUCAUCAACAUAGAUUUGAAUAAUAAGUAUAUCUUGGUUCUUAUGCUUAACAAAGAGAGUUGUGUCCGCUUUUCCCAUUGAAAAAUUGUUAUCUAACAUGAAGUUUUUAAGCCUAUCAUACCAUGCUCUAGGUGCUUGUUUUAAUCCAUACAAAACCUUAGAUAAACUUAUACACAUGAUCUGAAAAAUUUUUAUUUUCAAAACCAGGGGGUUAUUUCAGAUACACUUCUUCCAUAAUAUAACCAUUUAAGAAAGCACUCUUGACAUCCAUUUGAUAUAAAAUAAAAUCUUUAUGACAUGCAAAAGCUAAGAGCAUUCUAAUAGAUUCUAGUCUAGCUACAGGUGCAAUCAAUUCCCUCUUCUUGGUUGUAGCUUUGAGCCACUAGUCUAGCUUUAUUUCUUACAACUACACCAGAUUCAUCAAUUUUGUUUCUAAAUACCCAUUUAGUACCUAUGAUGGAUUGAUGUUCCGGGUUAGGAACUAAUUCCCAUACAUUGUUUCUCUCCAAUUGAUUCAAUUCCUCUUGCAUUGCCAUAAUCCAAGAUUCAUCUUUUUCUGCAUCCGCAAAGGAUUUUAGUUCAAUUUGAGAAAUAAAUGCAGCAUGCUCACAUGUGUUCCUAAGAGAUGAUCUAGUUGUAACACCUCGUGAGGGAUCUCCUAAAAUUACAUCCUUAGGGUGAGAAGAAACAUACCUCCACUCCUUGGGGAGUGUUUGAAAAGUACCUUCAUUUUGCUCUGCAUUUGUUUCUUCAUGAUGUUCCUCUUGAAUUCCAUGUGGUGCAUCUUUUUGGUUGUCAUUUGAUGCUUCUUCUUGUUGUUCUUCUUCUGCAUUAUCAUCAACAACGACUUUCUCCGUAGAGGAGGGGUUAGACUCAUCAAAUGUAACAUGCAUAGAUUCUUCCACAACCAAAGUUCUUUUAUUAUAAACUCUAUAAGCUUUGCUUGAGUUUGAAUAACCAAGAAAAAUACCAACAUCAGAUUUUGGAUCAAAUUUACCAAGAUUAUCUUUUGUGUUCAAAACAAAACAUUUGCAUCCAAAGACUUUAAAAUAACCAAUGUUGGGUUUUCUAUCUUUCUAAAGCUCAUAUGGAGUUUUAUUAAGAUUAUGUCUAAUCAACACAUGAUUCAAAACAAGCGGUGUUGACAACUUCGGCCCAAAAAUACUUAGGCAAAGAAUUUUCAUUCAACAUGGUCCUAGCCAUUUCUUGAAUGGACCUAUUCUUUCUCUCUACAACUCCAUUUUGUUGAGGAGUCCUAGGUGAUGAAAAUUGAUGCUCAAUGCCAAAAUCAUUACAAAAGUUCUCAAAACCAUAAUUUUCAAAUUCUCUACCAUGAUCAUUUCCAAUACAAGAAAUAUUACAUCCCUUUUCAUUUUGAACCUUUUUGCAGAAAACUUUAAAAGCAUCAAAGACAUCAUCCUUAUUAGCUAAGAAUAAUACCCAUGUGAAUCUAGAGUAAUCAUCCAUAAUUACAAAAGCAUAAUAUUUGUCAUUUAAACUAGCAUAUCUAGAAGGACCAAAUAAAUUUAUGUGAAGAAGUUGAAGUGGUUUUGAAGUAGAAAUAUGAUUUUUGUUUUUAAAAGAAGUUUUGAUUUGUUUUCCAAAUUAGCAAGCUUCACAAAUUCUAUCUUUUUGAAAACUGAUUUUUGUGCUGUACGGCCAAGGCGGAUGUACGGUACAGCAGAGAUUCCAAAUUAGCAAGCUUCACAAAUUCUAUCUUUUUGAAAACUGAUUUUUGGAAGACCUUUAACCAAAUCAUUUUUCAUGAUUUUUGAAAUCAAAUCCAUGCUUGUACGACCUAAUCUUCUAUGCCACAACCAACCAUCAUCAUGCAAUGCGGAGAAACAUUUAUCAUUUGUAGAUGCACAAUCUAUAUUAAUGGUAUAGACAUUAACACAUCUAUUUCCUACAAACAAACCUUGCCAUCGCAUGCAUUCUCAAUAAUACAUUUUUAUUCAUCAAAGAUAACUCUAUAUCCUUUAUCACGUAGUUGACUAAUGCUAAGCAAGUUGUGCUUUAAGUUUUCAACCAAACAUACAUUUUCAAUGAGAGUAAAGGAUACAUUACUGACAUUACCAAUGCCAAUGAUUCUUCCAUUUGAAUUAUCUGCAAACGAUACAUCUCCACCAUUUUCGAUCUUGGUAAAACUUGAAAAUCAAGAAUAAUUUCCAGUCAUGUGUCUUGAACAACCGUUGUCCAAGUACCACUUAUUCUUCUUCUUCUUCAAGCCCUGUAGAGAAAAUUUUAAGUUUUAGGUACUCAAAUCUUUUCCGUUGUCCAAGUACCACUUAUUCUUCUUCUUCUUCAAGCCCUGUAGAGAAAAUUUUAAGUUUUAGGUACCCAAAUCUUUUUGGGUCCUUGAGAGUUAGCAAUGGUUCCUUUCGGAACCCAAACACAUUUCAUACCAUAAUAUGCAUUUCUCUUCACUUGACAUCGAUUUUUCAUAUGACCAUCUUGAUUAUAAUAAUGACAUACAAUUUGAUUAUUAAUAGACGUAUUCUUCACAAAUAACUUUUGUAAUAUUUUUGUUUCAAAUUUGACUUAUAACCAAUGCCUCUUUUAUCAAAUACAUAGUUUUGUGAGUUUAGCAAGUUAUCCAACAUCUUUUGCCCAUUUGUGAAUUUUAGCACAAUCUCAUUUAGUUCAUUGCUCUUCUUUUUAAGCAUUUCAUUUUCAUUUUUCAAAUCAUUCACAUGUGACUCUAAAUGCUCAUGUGAAGUGCUAGAAUUCUCAAAUAAUACAACUCUAUCAUGUAAUGUUUUAUUCUCUAAUUAUAGGCAUAUAAUCUUUGCAUUAAAUGACUCAUUUUCAUUUUUAAGCUCUAUCAUUUUCUUUUUAAGACAUAUAUUCUUUUUACCAAUCUUUAUCAAUUCAUCAUGCAAAUCCUUAAAGGCAUCAUGUAAUUUAUCAUAUGUAGGAAGAACACUUACCUUAUCAAGUUCAUUACAUGAUUCUUCCCCAAAGGCCAUGAGAGCUAGAUUAGUCAUCUCUUGUUGCUUUUCAUCAUCGCUUGUUUCCUCAUCACUAUUAUCCCACGUGGCCACCAUAGCUUUCUUCUUGAGUUUGUUGAGGAUAGGAUAUUCCAGUCGUAUGUAUCCGGGCUUCUUGCAUUCAUAGCAAAUGAUUGGCUCUUUCUUCUCCUUUUUGUUUUUGUGACUUCUAAACUUUCUCUGCUCGUUAUUCUUCUUGUAGAAUUUUCUGAAUCUUCUAGCCAACAUAGCCAACUCCUCAUCAUCCAUCUCGUUUUCCUCAUCACUCUCACGUUUUGAGGCUUUGAGAGCAAUGUUUUUCUUCUUUUCCUCAUGUCUUUUUUCUGCUGCUAAAUCUUCUUCAUAUGAAAUGAGAGAACCAAUUAAAUCAUCAAUAAGUAAUACAUUUAAAUCUUUGGCUUCCUCAAUGACCGUCUUUUUUGGCCUUCAUUCCUUAGGUAGCGACCUAAUGAUUUUCUUAACUUUCUCGUUAUUAGAAAAAGUUUUUCCUAGGGCUUCUAGAGUGUUCACUAUGUCCGUAAAUCUAGUGUACAUAGAAUAUACACUCUCAUUUUAUUCCAUUUGAAACAAUUCAUAUUGUCGAGUGUACCUACUAAUUUCGACUCUUUCACUUGAUUCAUGCCUUCAUAGACAACUUCAAAUAUGUGUCAAAUUUCAUUAGUACUUUCACAACUAGACACUCUAUGAAACUCUUUCUUAUCAAGAGCACAAAAUAAGGCAUUCAUAGCUUUGGAAUUUAGAGAGGCAUUUCUCUUUUCCAAUUCAUUCCAUUCCCGCGAUGGUUUUGGAAUAUCUUCCCCGACUUCAUUUUUAGUCAAAGGCAUGAAAAGACCAUCAUUAACGAUUUCCCAAAUUUCGUAAUCUAAAACUUGCAAGUAAAUUCUCAUCCCAAUUUUCCAAUACGGUGAUCUUUUCCAUCAAAAUAUGGUGGUCCAGUGGUGGAUUGUCCUUCCCUAAAUGUAGAAUUAUUAUGAGUUGCCAUUGAUCUUUAGCUAUAGACGGUUAAGUCUAAACAAGAGCACCUUUCUCUGAUACCAAAUGAAAUACUGUUAGCCUAUAUGGCUAUAGAUAUUGAUUUUGAUGAUAACAAACCACAUGUAUUGAUUAAGUAAAGAUUUACGAAUUGUGCUUUUAUAAUAAGAAAAUGAUGUUAUGGAAUUAAAGAGUUUUUGAUUAAAAUGAAAGUAUUUUUAAAUCUUUGAUAGGGUUUUAAAUUUCGGAUUUGGACAUAUUUGAAACUAUUUAAAUAUUUUGGGUCAUUCUAUAAUUUCACAUAGUUUGGGUGAAAUCAUAAUUUCAAAAAGUUUUGGGAUUGACAAAGCAUUAUUUAAAAUUCUGAAAUUGGACCUAUUUGAAAGCUUUCAUAACGUUUUGGGCCAUACUACAGUUUUAUAAAGUUUUAGGGACAAACUAUAAAUUUAAAAAGCGGCUAGCCAGAUAUGGUAAACGGCAAACUGGAUUUUGGGCAGUAAGCUUCUGGAGCAUAAACGGCUAUCCGGAUUUCGCAAAGCGGCAAUCCAGAUUUCAAAAGCGGCUUACCGGAUAUGAAAAGCGGCAUGCCGGAUAUUCUAAAAUUUAAAUUUUUGCCUUAACGGUAACAUAAAAGCAGCUUACCGGAUUCCUAAACGGCAAGCUAAUGAUUAUCAAAAUGUGCAUAACGGCUAGUUUUUGAGCUCAAACUAUAUAAACUCAAAUCCAACUCAUUUCAAGCUAACUAGCAAGCAUAAACAAAAAGCACACGAGAUAACUUGAGCUUUCAAUUUGCAAGUCACAAAAUAUUGAAUCAUCUUUUGUUCUUCAUUUUUGAAUAUCUACUCCUUGAGUGAGUUUUAUUGUAACCUUCAUUUCUUCAUCUUAAUUGUAAGAGUUUAAGUGUGUGAGACACUUGAGUAAAGAGAUUGGGAGAUAAUCUCUUUGUUGUAAAGGUUCAUUGACACCUUGAAGUCAAUUGUAAACGGUUGAAGCCUUAGAAAUGCUCGGAUAGUGAAAUCCUCAAGCUUGGAUCGCUUGCAGGCGUGGACGUAGGCGGGGAUUGCCGAACCACGUAAAAAUUCGUGUGUUUGUUUCUCUUCUCCCUUACUCAUUUGUUAUUGUGCUUUUAUUGAACUUAUUACUUUCAAUUUUUAUUAAGAAAUUAGAUUGCUUGUUGUGUGGAUUUGUUAGGAUAAUUCUUAAAAUUCCAAUUCACCCCCCUCUUGGGUUGCACACUUAUAUUUCAUUUGGUAUCAGAGCAAGGUGCUUUUAUUUAGAUUUAACAGUCUAGAGCUAAAGAUCAAUGGCAACUCAAUAUGAUUCCAUAUUUAGGGAAUGACAGUCCACCACUAGACCACCUUACUUUGAUGGAAACGAUUACACGUAUUGGAAAACUAGGAUGAGAAUUUACUUGCAAGCCUUAGAUUAUGAAAUUUGAGAAAUCGUUAAUGAUGGUCCUUUCAUGCCUUUGACUAAAAAUGAAGCCGGGGAAGAUAUUUCAAAACCUUCACGGGAAUGGAAUGAAUUCGAAAAGAGAAAAGCUUUUCUAAAUUCCAAGGCUAUGAAUGCCUUGUUUUGUGCACUAGAUAAGAAAGAGUUUCAUAGAGUGUCUAGUUGCGAAAGUGCUAAUGAAAUUUGGCACAAACUUGAAGUUGCCUAUAAAGGCACGAAUCAAGUGAAAGAAUCUCAAAUAAGUAGGUACACUCGACAAUAUGAAUUAUUUCAAAUGGAACAAAAUGAGAAUGUGUACUCUAUGUAUACUAGAUUUACGAAAAUAGUGAAUACUCUAGGAGCCCUAGGAAAGACCUUUUCAAAUAGCGAGAAAGUUAAGAAAAUCAUUAGGUCGCUACCUAAGGAAUGGAGACAAAAAAUGACUACCAUUGAGGAAGCCAAAGAUUUAAAUGUAUUACCUAUUGAUGAUUUAAUUGGUUCUCUCAUUUCAUAUGAAGAAGAUUUGGCAGUAGAAAAAUGGCAUGAGGAAAAGAAGAAAAACAUUGCUCUCAAGGCUUCAAAACGUGAGAGUGAUGAGGAAAGUGAAAUGGAUGAUGAGGAGUUGCCAAUGUUGGCUAGAAGAUUCAUAAAAUUUUACAAGAAGAAUAAUGAGCAGAGAAAGUUCAGAGGCUACAAGAAUGAGAGGGAGAACAAAGAGCCAAUCACUUGUUAUGAAUGUAAGAAGCCCGGACACAUACGACCGGAAUGUCCUCUUCUCAACAAACUCAAGAAGAAAGCUAUGGUGGCCACAUGGGAUGAUAGCGAUAGGAAACAAGUGAUGAUGAUGAGCAACAAGAAAUGACAAAUUUAGCUCUCAUGGCCUUUGGGAAAGAAUCAUGUGAUGAACUUGAUGAGGUAAGUGUUCUUCCUACAUAUGAUGAAUUACAUGAUGCCUUUAAGGAUUUGCAUGAUGAGUUGAUGAAGAUUGGUAAAAAGAAUAUAUGUCUUAAAAAGAAGAUAUGAAGAUUGGUAAAAAGUGAUGAACUUGAUGAGGUAAGUGUUCUUCCUACAUAUGAUGAAUUACAUGAUGCCUUUAAGGAUUUGCAUGAUGAGUUGAUGAAGAUUGGUAAAAAGAAUAUAUGUCUUAAAAAGAAGAUGAUAGAACUUAAAAAUGAAAAUGAAUCAUUUAGUUCAAAGAUUACAUGCCUAGAAUUAGAAAAUAAAACAUUGCAUGAUAGCAUUGCAUUAUUUGAGAAUUCUAGCACUCCACAUGAGCACUUAGAGUCACACAUGAAUGACUUGAAAAAUGAAAAUGAAAUACUUAGAAAGAAGAGAAAUGAACUAAAUGAAAUUGUUCUAAAAUUCACAAAUGGGCAAAAGAUGUUAGACAACUUGCUAAACUCACAAAAAUGUGUAUUUGACAAAGGAGGCAUUGGUUAUAAACCAAAUUUGAAACAAAAAUUUUAGAAGAGUUAUUUUGUGAAUAAUACAUCUAUUAACAAUGAAGUUGUAUGUCAUUAUUGUAAUCAAGAUGGUCACAUGAAAAAUAGAUGUGCAGUGAAGAGAAAUGCAUGUUAUGGUGUGAAAUGUGUUUGGGUUCCGAAAGGAACCAUUGCUAAUUCUCAAGGACCCAAAAAGGUUUGGGUACCUAAAACUUGAGAUUUUCUCUACAGGGCUUGAAGAAGGAGAAAAAUAAGUGGUACUUGGACAGCGGUUGUUCAAGACACAUGACAGGGAAUUAUUCUUGGUUUUCAAGUUUUACUAAGAUCGAAAAUAGUGGAGAUGUAUCAUUUGGAGAUAAUUCAAAGGAAAAAUCAUUGGCAUUGGAAAUGUUGGUAAUGUAUCCUCUACUCUCAUUAAAAAUGUGUGCUUGGUUGAAAACUUGAAACACAACUUGCUUAGUAUUAGUUAAUUAUGUGAUAAAGGAUAUAGAGUUAUCUUUGAUGAAUCUAAAUGUGUUAUUGAAAAUGCAUGUGAUGGGAAAGUUUUGUUUGUAAGAAAUAGAUGUGUUAAUGUCUAUACUAUUAAUAUAAAUUGGGCAUCGAAAAAUGAUAAAUGUUUCUCCGCAUUGCAUGAUGAUGGUUGGUUGUGGCAUAGAAGAUUAGGUCAUGCAAGCAUAGAUUUGAUUUCAAAAAUCAUGAAAAAUGAUUUGGUUAAAGGUCUUCCAAAAAUCAGUUUUCAAAAAAAUAGAAUUUGUGAAGCUUGCCAAUUUAGAAAACAAAUCAAAACUUCCUUUAAAAGCAAGAAUCAUGUCUCUACUUCAAAACCACUUUAAUUACUUCACAUAAACUUGUUUGGACCUUCUAGAUAUUCUAGUUUAAGUGGCAAAUUUUAUGCAUUUGUAAUUGUAGAUGAUUAUUCUAGAUACACAUGGGUAUUGGUCUUAGCUAAUAAGGAUAAUGCUAUUGAUGCAUUUCAAUUUUUCUAUAAAAAAGUUCAAAAUGAAAAAGGCUAUUUUAUUACUUGUAUUAGAAGCGAUCAUGGUGGAGAAUUUGAAAAUCAUGCAUUUGAAAAUUUUUGUAAUGACUUUGGCAUUGAAUAUCAAUUUUCAUCACCUAGGACUUCACAACAAAAUAGAGUAGUAAAGAGAAAGAAUAGGUCUAUCCAAGAAAUGGCUAGGACCAUGUUGAAUGAAAAUUCUUUGUUUAAGUAUUUUUGGGCCGAAGCCAUCAACACCACUUGUUAUGUUUUGAAUCGUGUAUUGAUUAGACCUAAUCUUAAUAAAACUCCAUAUGAGCUUUGAAAAGAUAGAAAACCCAACAUUGGUUAUUUUAAAGUCUUUGGAUGCAAAUAUUUUGUUUUGAACACAAAAUAUAAUCUUGGUAAAUUUGAUCCAAAAUCUUAUGUUGGUAUUUUUCUUGGUUAUUCAAACUUAAUUAUAAUAAAAGAACUUUGGUUGAAAAGAACUUUGGUUGUGGAAGAAUCUAUGCAUGUUACAUUUGAUGAGUCUAACCCCUCCUCUACGGAGAAAGUCAUUGUUGAUGAUAAUGCAGAAGAAGAACAACAAGAAGAAUCAUCAAAUGACAACCAAAAAGACGCACCACAUGGAAUUCAAGAGGAACAUCAUGAAGAAACAAAUGUAGAGCAAAAUGAAGGUACUUCUCAAACACUCCCCAAGAAGUGGAGGUAUGUUUCCUCUCACCCUAAGGAUGUAAUUUUAGGAGAUCCUUCACGAGGUGUUACCACUAGAUCAUCUCUUAGGAACACAUGUGAGCAUGCUGCACCCUAAGGAUGUAAUUUUAACUCCCCAAGAAGUGGAGGUAUGUUUCCUCUCACCCUAAGGAUGUAAUUUUAGGAGAUCCUUCACGAGGUGUUACCACUAGAUCAUCUCUUAGGAACACAUGUGAGCAUGCUGCAUUUAUCUCUCAAAUUGAACCAAAAUCCUUUGAGGAUGCGGAAAAUAAUGAAUCUUGGAUUAUGGCUAUGCAAGAGGAGUUGAAUCAAUUUGAGAGAAACAAUGUGUGGGAGUUAGUUCCUAAUCCGGAACAUCAAUCCAUUAUAGGUACUAAAUGGGUAUUUAGAAAUAAAAUAGAAACAAUGUGUGGGAAUUAGUUCUUAAUCUAGAACAUCAAUCCAUUAUAGGAACUAAAUGGGUAUUUACAAACAAAAUGGAUGGAUCCGGUGUGGUUGUAAAAAAUAAAGCUAGAUUAGUGGCUCAAGGUUACAACCAAGAAGAAAGAAUUGAUUUUAAUGAAACAUUUGCACCUGUAGCAAGGGUAGAAUCCAUUAGGAUGUUGUUAGCGUAUGCAUAUCAUAAGGAUUUCAUUUUAUAUCAAAUGGAUGUUAAGAGUGCUUUCUUAAAUGGUUAUAUUAUAAAGGAAGUUUAUGUGAAACAACCUCCUGGUUUUGAAAAUGAAAAAUUUUCAGAUCAUGUGUAUAAGUUAUAUAAUGCUUUGUAUGGACUAAAACAAGCACCUAGAGCUUGGUAUGGACUAAAACAAGCACCUAGAGCUUGGUAUGAUAGGCNNNNNNNNNNNNNNNNNNNNNNNNNNNNNNNNNNNNNNNNNNNNNNNNNNNNNNNNNNNNNNNNNNNNNNNNNNNNNNNNNNNNNNNNNNNNNNNNNNNNNNNNNNNNNNNNNNNNNNNNNNNNNNNNNNNNNNNNNNNNNNNNNNNNNNNNNNNNNNNNNNNNNNNNNNNNNNNNNNNNNNNNNNNNNNNNNNNNNNNNNNNNNNNNNNNNNNNNNNNNNNNNNNNNNNNNNNNNNNNNNNNNNNNNNNNNNNNNNNNNNNNNNNNNNNNNNGAGGAAGGAAUUUUCAUAAAUCAAGCCAAGUACGUGAAAGAUCUACUCAAAAGAUUUGGCUAUGAUAAUGGAACAGUAAAAAGCACUCCAAUGAGUACUACCAUCAAGCUGGACAAAGAUGAGAAAGGUAAGGAAGUUGAUAUCAAGACAUAUCGAGGUAUGAUCGGAUCCUUACUCUACUUGACUGCUAGUAGGCCUGAUAUUAUGUUUAGUGUAUGCUUGUGUGCUAGAUUUCAAUCUUGUCCUAAAGAGUCACACAUGCUUGCUAUCAAACGCAUUUUUCGAUAUUUGAUUGGCAUCAUUAAUCUUGGCCUUUGGCAUCCUAGGGGAACUCAUAUUGACUUAACUUGUUAUUCGGAUGCCGAUUUUGCUAGAUAUAAGGUUGAUAGAAAAAGUACUAGUGGAACUUGUCACUUCCUAGGCCAUUCUCUUGUCUCUUGGUUUAGUAAGAAACAAAAUUCGGUGGCGCUUUCAACCAUACUUGAUCAAAUACCUAUCUUGUGUGACAAUACUAGUGCUAUAAAUCUUUCCAAGAAUCCCAUUCAACAUUCUAAAACUAACCAUAUAGAAAUUAGACAUCAUUUCUUUAGAGAUCAUGUUCAAAAAGAAGAUGUUGUAAUUAAAUUUGUUUCUACUGAAAAUCAGCUUGCGGAUAUCUUUACAAAAUCUCUUAGCGAAGAGUAUUUUAUAAAGAUAAGACAUGAGCUUGAAAUGAUGAAUGUUGCAUCUUGACUUAUGUUUUACUACAUGGCUUGAUAUGUUUGUUAUUAUAUGGAUUUAUACUUCAAGAAUUAGAUAGCUUGAUAUGCUUAUAAUUUUAUGAUUUUAUGUUUCAUGCAUUAAAUGACUUAUUGACAAGUUUUAAAUCUCAAAAUGAUUUAAAAUAAAUCAUUUUUAAAAGCCAAAAACAAAAUGGUGUGUGUAAUACAAGUAUAAGAGCUUGCCAAAAUUCAAUUAGAGACAAAAAGUCUUCCAAGUCUAAACCGAUAUUCCACUUCCUCUCAUCCGGAAAACCGCUUUCUUAUUGAUUUCUCUCGGGAAAAAUUCCGGAUAACCGGAUUUAGUAAACCGGUAAGCCGGAUUAACUUUGGUUGCUCUCGGGUUAACUUUCGGAUAACCGGAUUAUCAAUCCAGAAAACCGAAUUUUCUAAGCCUCCUCUCUGCCUCAAAACCAGACAGCCGGUUCUUCAAAUUCGGAAAAUCGAUUACAGGUUGCAUGGUUCUGCCACACAACCGGCUAACCGAAUUCAAGAGGCAACUUUCUGCCUCAAAAUCGGACAACCGGUUAGAUAAACCGGAAAGCCGGAUACGGUUUUUUUUGCUCUCUGCCCCGUAACUGACUAACCGGUUAGUGAAAUCCGAUUAGCCGGAUUUGCAUGAAGACCUUGCUGGAACAUAACCAGAUUUCCGGUUAAAGACAUCCGGUAAGCCGGAUUCGCGGUUAAAAGAGCACUGUUAUUCUUCCUUCUUCAUUUGGCCAAUCGGAUUGCUCUCUCUCUCUCUCAAAGCCGUUUAUUCUUCACUCUAUCUCACUCCAAAAUCCAUCAUCUUCUUACUUUUUCGCAUCAAAUUGAGUCUCGAAAAUCAUUCCCUAUCACUUCAUUUACUCAAAAUCAUCCUCAAACUCCAUUUUCAACAUCUAAAUCUCUAUAUCCCAAAUUUAACCUAGGUUUUCAGCUGAUUUUUCUCUCUCUAGAUUUCUCCCUCCUUAGCCUUUUUUUAUCCAAAUUGUUUCUCAAACUCUCUUUCAAUCUUCAUAAUCUUCAUUCUUUUUGCUCUUUUUAACUUCAAAUCAAUCCAAAUCACAAUGUCAAGCUCUCGGCCGGUUCGAAGAAAAGGCAAAGAACCAGUUCAACCAACCAACAGGUCACGGCAAGCAGGGGCACCUCCAAUCAAUCCAAUUUUGAGUCCAUUCACUUUCAUAAUAAGAAACACUUGAUCAAACGAUUUCAACAAAGCUUCAGCACUCGUGAGGUACUCAAUACGUUUUAUGUUUUACCGGAUGUGAUGCAUACUCUCAAUAUUAGUCAUAGAAAUUUAUUUCAAUUGUUGGGAGAUGUUGGUUGGAUUGAUGCACUUUUGAUUGAGGAGAACUUGUAUCCCGACUUGGUGAAAGUGUUUUACUCGAAUAUGGAAGUUUCUAAGGAGAACAAGACUCGAGUAAUCACUAAUGUUGGAGGAGUUAUGAUUGACUUUGAUGUUUCCUUGUUAAACUCUAUCCUAGGAUCAUCCGAUUUUGGCCUAGAAAUUUUUUCGCCUAGGAAAUCUCCUAAACUUGAUAGUUAUGUUCAUGUUGACACCGUUCGUAAUAUUUGUCAACGUAAUGAUCUUUCUGUUGAGGAUUAUACCAUUCAUUUCUGCACUCAGUGUCUUUGUCUUCAAACUCGCAUUUUGCUUCGCAUUAUUCAGUCCAUUGUACUUCCUAGAUCAGGGCAUUUGGAUGAGGUUUCUCACAUGGACGUUGUUUUGAUUGACUGUAUUUUUAGACGUCGUCUGGUUAACUUGGGCUAUACCAUCAUCCGAACCAUGUUGACCAUACCUGCCUUGAUUACCAGCUCCCUUCCAUAUGGUCACUUCAUUACCUGAAUCCUUAAAUUUUUUGAUGUGCCGAUUCUAGAACCAUCAUGUAGACCGUCUAAGGGUAUUGGGGAUGGUGUUAUCUUCGGCUUAGACUUUGAGUGGAAAAAUGGCACUUGGGUCAAAUACACUGAGAGUAGCUACCUGUUUUCUCACUCUCAUUUCGAGGGUAGCGUCAACGCCGAGAUCCUCCCAUGAUUGCUUCAGCUCCUGGUGCCUCUACAUCCGUUUCAUCACCUCCACAGCCUCCUACCUCUGAAGAGGUUACUCUUCAGCAGCUUAUGGAUGAGGUGCGGACACUCUCUUUGUGGCAGACUGAGUUUCAGCAGCAACAACAGCAGCUCAUUCAUGGACAGCGCCUUCUCUUUGAGCAUUUCGACAUUCCAUAUCCGUAUCCACCUCCAUCACCACCAUCCUCACCACCUCAGUAGUCUCUUAUGCAUGUAUUUGGACACACCUACAUUUCAUUUACUGCAUUAUUUUUUUUUUAUUUUCGACUAUAUGGAUGGUUAUUAUGCUUUUGGAUUAUGUAUUUGUUUUGGAUGAUAUGGAUUUGUUUUGAGUGUUUAUUAUGGAUUAUAUGGAUUUCUUUAUGCUUAUGGGUAUUUUUUCUACUAAUGUGCUUGUGUUGCGACUUUGAUGAUUGAUAGGGGGAGUUUUUAUUCUUUUUGAUGAUGAAGGGGGAGAAUAAUUUAAUAUGUGUUAUAAAAAGUGUUAUGAAAAUAUGCAUAUAUCCAGGGGGAGUAUGCUUGUAUGCAGGGGGAGUCUUGUUCAAUAAUCUUCAAAUCAAUUUUGUUUUAACUUGCAUUGAUUAAGGGGGAGCUUUUCAUACCUAGAUUAAAUUUUUUAUAAUGUGUUUUGUCAUCAUCAAAAGGGGGAGAUUGUUAGCCUAUAUGGCUAUAGAUAUUGAUAAUUAAAGUGUUUUGAACUAAAAUGAAAGUAUUUAAAAACCUUUGAUAUUGUUUUAAAAUUUCAAAUUUGGACAUAUUUGAAAAUAUUUAAAUAUUUUAGGUCAUUCUAUAAUUUCACAUAGUUUGGGUGAAAUCAUAAUUUCAUAAAGUUUUGGGAUUGACAAAGUAUUAUUUAGAAAUUCUGAAAUUGGACCUAUUUGAAAGCUUUCAUAACAUUUUGGGCCAUAAUACAGUUUUAUAAAGUUUUAGGGUCAAACUAUAAUUUUAAAAAUAUUUCAUUGUACCAGUUACUGUAGCAAGCGGCUAACCGGAUAUGGUAAGCGGCAAUCCAGAUUUUGGGCAGUAAGCUUCUGGAGCAUAAACGGCUAUCCGGAUAUUGUAAGCGACAUGCCGGAUGUUAUGAAAUUCAAAUUUUUAUUGUAACGGUAACAUAAAAGCGGCUAACCGGAUUCUGAAAGCGGCAAGCCGGUUAUCAUUAGAAAACACAUAACGGCUAGUUUUUGGGCUCAAACUAUAUAAACUCAAAUCCAAUUCAUUUUCAAGCCCCCUAGCAAGCAUAAACAAAAAGCACACGAGAUAUUUUGAGCUCUCAAUUCGCAAAUCAUAAAACAUUGAAUCAUCUCUUGUUCUUCAUUUUGAAUAUCUACUCUUUGAGAGAGUUUUGUUGUAAUUUUUUAUUUCCUUAUAAAGUUGUGAGUGUUUGAGUGUGUGAGACAAUUGAGUAAAGAGAUUGGGAGAUAAUCUCUUUGUUGUAAAGGUUCAUUGACACCUUGAAGUCAAUUGUAAACGGUUGAAACCUUAGAAAGGCUCGGAUAGUGAAAUCCUCAAGCUUGGAUCGCUUAAAGGCGUGAACGUAGGCGGGGAUUGCCGAACCACGUAAAAAUUCGUGUGUUUGUUUCUCUUCUCCCUUACUCAUUUGUUAUUGUGCUUUUAUUAAACUUAUUACUUUCAAUUUUUAGUAAGAAAUUAGAUUGUUUGUUGUGUGGAUUUACUAGGAUAAUUCUUAAAAUUUCAAUUCACCCCCCCUCUUGGGUUGCACACUUAUAUUUCAAAUACAAAUGUGCAACCCAAGAGAGGGGGUGAAUUGGUAUUUUUUAAAAAAAUCCUAACAAUAUCACACAAUAAUCCAAUCUAACACCUUAAUGAAUUCGAAAGUAAUAAGUUCAAUAAAAACACAAUCACAAGUAAGUAAGAGAGAAGAGAAACAAACACGAAUUUUUACGUGGUUUGGUAAUCCCUGCCUACGUCCACGCCUCUAAGCGAUCUAAGCUUGAGGAUUUCACUAUCCAAGCCUUCCAAGGCUUUAAAUGUUUACAAUUGACUUCAAGGUGUCAAUGAACCUUUACAACAAAGAGAUUAUCUCCCAAUCUCUUUACUCAAUUGUCUCACACACUCAAACACUCACAACUUUAUAAGGAAAUAAAAAAUUACAACAAAACUCUCUCAAAGAGUAGAUAUUCAAAAUGAAGAACAAGAGAUGAUUCAAUGUUUUAUGAUUUGCGAAUUGAGAGCUCAAAAUAUCUCGUGUGCUUUUUGUUUAUGCUUGCUAGGGGGCUUGAAAAUGAAUUGGAUUUGAGUUUAUAUAGUUUGAGCCCAAAAACUAGCCGUUAUGUGUUUUCUAAUGAUAACCGGCUUGCCGCUUUCAGAAUCCGGUUAGCCGCUUUUAUGUUACCGUUACAAUAAAAAUUUGAAUUUCAUAACAUCCGGCAUGUCGCUUACAAUAUCCGGAUAGCCGUUUAUGCUCCAGAAGCUUACUGCCCAAAAUCUGGAUUGCCGCUUACCAUAUCCGGUUAGCCGCUUGCUACAGUAACUGGUACAAUGAAAUAUUUUUAAAAUUAUAGUUUGACCCUAAAACUUUAUAAAACUGUAUUAUGGCCCAAAAUGUUAUGAAAGCUUUCAAAUAGGUCCAAUUUCAGAAUUUCUAAAUAAUACUUUGUCAAUCCCAAAACUUUAUGAAAUUAUGAUUUCACCCAAACUAUGUGAAAUUAUAGAAUGACCUAAAAUAUUUAAAUAUUUUCAAAUAUGUCCAAAUUUGAAAUUUUAAAACAAUAUCAAAGGUUUUUAAAUACUUUCAUUUUAGUUCAAAACACUUUAAUUCCAUAACAUCAUUUUCUUAUUAUAAAAGCACAAUUCAUAAAUCUUUGUUUAAUUAACACAUGUGGUUUGUUAUCAUCAAAAUCAAUAUCUAUAGCCAUAUAGGCUAUCAAAUUCCUUGUGUAACGCCUGUUAUUUGUUUCCUCUUUUACCCUUAUUAAAUUAGGUAGGAUAGUUAUCAUUGAGUGUUUGUAUGUGAGUAAAACUUAUCAAUUUGUUUUAAAUCAAUUACAUAGGUUAUUAGCUUUUAUUUAAAAAAAGAAUUUUCUUAAAACUCAUGUUUUCUUGCGUUCUAUUUUUUUCAAGUAUUUAUUAAUUACCAAAAGUAUUUAAGAGGAAGCCAUCUUUUUAAGAGGAACUCGUCUUUUAUUUUCCACACCGUUACAAACCCGAGAAAAAAAAAGAAAAGAAAGAAACAUAAGUCUUUGGAGAAGGUAAACAUAAGUCUUUGGAGAAGGAAAACAAAGUUUUAUAACUUCUUUGCUUGGUGUUUGCCUUAAAGUAUUAAGUAUUUCUUUGACUUAUAUGAUUUAUUUUUAUUAAUUGUCUGCCUUUAAUUACUUGUAGUAUGAUUUGGGUAAUAUAUGUGUGUUUGUAAUGCUGUGAUGAUAUGAAUAGUCUAUAUUCUUUGCUUCAAAUCGUUUUCUUUAUUUAAAAUCACAUGAAUACGUUUACAAAUCAUGAUACUAGACAUGCUAAGCUUUCCAUUGAUAGGUCUUGUGUUGAAAUCCUCCAAGUAUGAAAAUUGUUAUGAUUUUUUGAAGUUAGGUUAUUGGUGCUGGAAAAUUCUGAUUUUCAGUGGCGGUUCUCACUUCUGGAAAUGUUUCUGUAAGGUUACACAUCUUUAAAAAUUAUGGUGAUUUUUGUAUCCACAUAUCUAUGUCUCAUAUGAUUGCAUGUUUAAUUUCGUAAUUUUUAUUCAUUAUGGUUAAAUUAUUAAAAAUCAUAACAUGCGGCUGCUGUAGAUCUGGAAACUAUUUUCCAGAAUUGCAGAAGCUGAAACAUGUAACAGUUUGGGCUAAUUUAUUGUUGGGAAAAUAUGCUCUUUAAAAGCAUAUAUGUUUAUUUAAUUGUAAUAAAUAUUUUUUUUCUGAUUAAUAAAAUAAAUGAGGUAUUUUAUUCAAAUAUCUUAAUUGCAUUAAUAUUUUGAUUAAAGUCCAUUUAAUCAUAUUAUAUGUAUUUAUAUGAUUACCAUGUGGAUUCACAGAAGACAUAAAUACAAGUUAUCUUAUGAUUAAAUAAAUUUAGUUCACAGUUGAUAAAUAAAGUUGGACACUUUAUUUACGUAUAGACUGUAAUGAAUUCAUUGAAUGAUUUGUCUUAAUCAUGUAUGAAUUUAUUGAUGUAGUACGACUACAUUGAACAUGAUCACAUAUGAGAUUUAAUUAACUUUGUAAUAACUGUCAGACUUAUUAAAUCUCAUAGGCAUUGAUUUUACUGUAAUCUUAAUCUUGAGUUAAUUAUGAUUUCAUGAUUGUAAUUGUUAUUCCAUUUGAGUUACCAAAGGGCACGACACAUCCUUGUGGUCAAGAUUACCCGGUAUCUUGGUGGGAGCAAUUAUGAGUAUUAGAGUUAUGGAUUAACAAUAUAGAAUUUGUACAACACAUCUCUUGAUAGGUUUUCUAUACUUAUAGUCAAGAUUACCCGGUAUCUUAGUGGGAGCAAUUAUGAGUAUUGGAGUUAUAGAUUAACAAUAUAGAAUUUGUAUAACACAUCUCUUGAUGGGUUUUCGGCACUUGAUCAUAGAAUUCUCUUGCCAGAGUGUGUCAACAUAUUUAGUAUGUUGAAAAUGAUCAUUAGAGAAAACUAGUAAGUAUCAAGGAACGAGAUGUAAUUAAAUUGAUUGGAGAGUUGAGGUAUCGAUUUAAUUAAUGAUGUGGUACAAAGAAUUUUACAGUAAAGAAAUCAAUGUGGCUUGGGACAAAUUAUUAUUCGAACAUACAAUUAUGGAGGUCAGUUCCAAUCUUAUAGUGGAGUAGAGUUGGGAUUAAAUGAUUAGGCGUAUUUAAUUACAGGCUUAAUUGUUGUAGCCACUAUUGUAUGUUUCCAAAUGAUCCCCGGUUAGCUCUUUUAAUUGAUUGCACCACUACUGGAUUAAUAAGCAAGAUAACUAGCCAUUUGGGUCAAAAGCCUAAAUGUAUCAUUUAGUGGGAGGCUCCAUUUAAUAUGCUUGUAUGUAAGAGGCUUUAUGUUAUUUUACAAUAUGGGCCCCCUAUAGAAAAAGCAAGUAACAUGACUUUUGAUUUUCAUUAUUUGGAGACUAGGGUUUUCACUAAAGGGAGAUAUAAAAAGGCUUAUUUUCUCUAAAGAAAGAUAUAACAGUCACUUUAUACAGAUCAGAGAAAAAGAUUUUUUCCUCUAAUUUUGAGAGAAAAAAUUUUUCGUGCUAGUUGCUUUAGUGGUGAUAAAGGCACCCACACGUCAAAUGCAGAUCAAAUCUGAGUCAUAAGCUGGAAGAUCAUUGGUGACAGUUCGUGAUCUAACAAGCAUGGUGGUGACGGAUCGUGAUCUGGGAGCCUAAAUCACUUCAACGAAAACAGCCAAAUCGGAUUUUAAAGGUACAAUUUCUAGAUUACAAAUUCUUAGAUAUUGUAUGAGAGCGAUCUUAAAAGGUUUUAUAAAAAAUUUAAAAAAACUAUUUUUUUUCUCCAACAUUUAUAUGCCAUGUGAGGAUUUUAUAAUGAAAUUGCAAUCUUUCCUCUGUCUUUAAAAAUCGGAAUCGCGAUUUUUGGGCAUGUAAAAUAAAAUAUAUGAAUUUUUGAAAUUCUAUCUUCAAAUAUGGAAUUUUCUUGACAGGUUAGAUGUUCUCAGAAAUAAAACACUUUUAAAAUAGUUUCAGGAGUCCAAAAAUUAUAAAUUUUAAUUAUAUGCUUUCUGAAUGUGUUUUCUAUAAUUAGAAAAAAGAAACAGAUUAUUUCGAGUACUAGAAAAUAUUUUAUGAAUUUCCUAAGUGGUAAAGGUUUGUUUUGGUCGAUGCUGGGUAGUUUUGUUACUUUGGUAAAAGGUCAAUAUUCUGACUUGAUUUUCACUUGUGCUGAUUUUUGUGAAAUUUUGUAUGCAAUGCUAUGCAUGUUUACAAUACCUCUAUAAAUUUUCAUGGUUUUCCGACAUGUGUAUAGGUUAUUAAAAAUCAGCAUGUGCAAGAUACUCAUGUUAUGUCUAGAAUAUGUAUAAGUAUUGAGCUAGUAUAAGUGCCUAUGAUUUAAGGAUGAUUGGGAUUAUGUUUAAGGUUGGAGAUAAUAUUGAUAAGGAUAUUUUUAUGAUGAUUAUAGGCGUGGGUGAGCUCAUUGGUUUGUUCUUAAGGUGUUGAGUUGAUUGUUGCGGAUCGAGGUAAGUAUAUUCAUGCUUGAUGUGCUUUAUAAUAAAUGCAAUUUAUGUUAUAAGAAUUAUGUUUAAAUGAAAAUUUUUACAAAACUGAUUUCUAAAAUAUUUAAAUGAAUUUGUAAAAAUGUAUUUUAAAAUGAAUUUUUCUUAAGAAACUAGUUUUCUUAAACAAAAUGUUUUCUUAAAGAAUUUUCUAAAAGAAUUAAAUGAUCAAAGAAAGGUUCUUAAAUCUUUUAGAAGACUUUAAAUGCUAUUUAGGAAAUGAUGUAAGGUGGAUUAAAAAAUGUUUUGGCUCAUAAUCUGUAGUAAUGUACACGAUGCUAAUGUUAUGAUAUUAUGUAAUAUUAUGGUCAGCUUGCUGGUAUAAUGAUGCUCUUGUGCACAAUGAUGUUAUGAACAAUGCGGGGUAUAAUACCUUGAACAAGGAACAAUACGGGGUAUAGUACCCUAAAUGAUGAAUGAUGAUGAUUACGAGGUAUGAGCUAUCAAAUAUUUAUGUUUUAAUAUUUUUACGAAUGUUUUAAUAUUUUUCAUGCUUUUACAUGAAUCAAUCCCUUUUGCUAAAUGAAGAUGUUAUUGUAAGACGAUAUAAAAUGUUUACAGGUAUAAUGACAAAGGUUUUCAAAUAUUGUGCAUGGAUUUGCUUACCGAGUUGACGGCUCACCCCUAAUCUUCAAUAUUUUGUAGAUUAAUUAGAUAUGUGGCUUGGGUACUUAGAUGGAGAUUUUUUUUUUGUGGAUCUUUGGAGUUGCUUUAAAGAUUAAAUUUGGCUAGAGUUUUUAUUUUGGAUCAGACUUUUCUUUAGAGACUUUAUUUCAGAUGUUUUGUGUAAGAAUUUGGUUAAACUAUGAAAAAUGAUUGUCUAUCUUGAGAUUUAUUAAUAAGAAUAAAUGAUGUGAGAUUUCAUUCCAAUUUUACCCUUGCGCUUUCAUGGGUAGAUUUUUGGGGUGUUACAUUCUAUCAUAACCCAACCCAAACCUGAUAAGAUAUUGUCUACUUUGGGCCUUAAUAAGGCCCGCACUGUUUUGUUCAUGGGGCGCUCAUACACCCCAAAAAUGUGUCUUGCCAAUUAAAGUGUGGAUCACCCCUUAUAAACCCUAAGGUGUUACAUACACCCCCCCUUAGAGACUCAGCGUCCUCAUUGAGAUUUGCCCCAUCAUCGCUCAAGAGGACACACUUUUAAUAUGUUCUAAUUUCUAAAUAUAUUCCAUCUAAUAAUAUUAUUCAAAUUCCUUACAGUUCAAUUUUGUUGUAUCAAAGUUAUCUUCAGGGGAUGCUUGAUUGAGUGAUUUUUAAGUAGUUUUAUUCGACUAGUUGUUCAAAUGAGUCCUCAAAGAAAUAAGAACUAAAAAAUUAAUUUAACCUUUUGCCACUCUCCCAAACUUAAAAUAAUAAUAAUAAUAAUUGUACCAAAGUCAAUUGUCCUAUGGAGAUAAAGGGCUUGGUGGUAAAAAUCAGGAGAUUAGGGAGAUGGGGUGGAGGUGGGGAGACCUACCAAUUUCCUAUAUAAUUAAAAAUUUCAUCUCCAAUCCUUACAACUCAUAUUAUAUGAGAUUAUUUAUUAAUAUAUUUACAAUCAGACAAUUACUGGGACAAGAGUUCAUAUUUUUAUCUUCUCAAAUAUUCGAUAGAUAUCUACUUCACUCUCAUUUCGAGAGAGAGAGAAGACUGCUUUUACACAAUUAUCUUCAUAAUUGGGAAGGAAAUUUUAGCGGCUUGAACCGUUGCCCUCACAAGUGUAAGGGCAGCAACUCUUUGGUCGAGUGGCCACCUAAUUUCUUAUUUACUUAUUUUAUAAUAGGUAUGAAUACAUAAUUUUUUUAAAAAAAUAGUGAUUUAAAUAAAAUUAUUACCAUAUUAUAAAGUAUUUAAAUUAUUAAAAAAUUUCAAAAGUUUGAAAUAAUAUCUUAAAAUGAUAUCAAAACUGUAAAAUGUUUGGGUAAAUAAAAACUAAAAGGAUAAAACUGUAUAGUAAUGUUUCAACUCUUUUAUUAUUUGCUUCAUCUUCUCUUUAUUAUAUUCAUAUAUAUCCUAUGAUUGACACUUUAAUCCUACAAUAUCAAAUAAUAAAAUUAAUAAUUAUUACUUCACUACAAAUAUUUUUAAGAAAAUGUUUUAUCAUACGUUAUUUAUAAAACACUUGUAAUAAAGAAUUAUAUUGUAAAAUUUUUUUUUAUAGUUAUAGCCUAUUUAUAUUUGACAAAAAUAAAAAUAAAAAUUUAUUAGUCGACAUCGUAAUUGAUAAAAUAAAAAUUAAAAAAAAUUUACUUAUAGUGGAGAUUGAGGUGGGAGUGGGAUAAAGAGUACAAAAUCAAAUUCCACCCUAUUUAAAAAUUAUUAUUUUUUCACUUUAUUUUUCAUUAAUUAUUCAAAAUUCGCUCUUACGGAUAGGUACCAGGUCGGUUCUGUUUGGUUCAGUAUUGGAAAAAAUUAAAAAUUUUGGUUCAGUGCAGAAUUUUGUAAAAAACCGAAAUAAAUCUAAAUAAAUUAAGAAUCGAACUGGAACCGAUCGACUUGACUUGGUUCGGUUCGGUUGCGAUUUGGUAUUUCAAUUUCGGUUCCUGUUCGGUUUCGGUUCAAAAUAUCGGUUUUUCAUCACCUGUACAAAUUUAACUACUUUGUUUCCUUAGAAAACUAUCAGUACAAAUGCAAAUAUACAAAUUGCAAUCUAUAAUUUCAUCAAUAAUAUUACCAAACCAAAUCAUUCACUACCAUCACAAUCAAUUGAAAAUAAAAAGAGUUGUGACACUCAUUAGCUUUUAACUUCAAAUAAAUGUUAUAGAUUUCUAAAAAGCAUUUAUGAUAUCGAAAAUGAUUAUGCAAGUUAAUUUGACAAAAAGAAAAGAAAAGGAGUACAAGUAGUAAAGAAAAUUGAGGCUGUAUUAUUACUACUUACUCUCUUUCAUUCAUAAAUCAUAAAGAAAGACUUGAGCUGGGAUUUGUUUCUUCUUCAAUCAAAACAAACCCAGCUCCCUGAGCUUCCGCUCUCACCACCACCAUGCGCCUUGGCAGCGGUGGUUGCUAGAUCUUGAAGCUAGAAGGAAGUGGCACUGGCAGCAGUGAAGGUAGCAAUGGGUGCUAGAUCGUGAAGCCAGAAGGAAGCAAAGAGCCAUCAGCAGGCAACAGCAAACCCAAAAAUGAAGCGACGACAAAACCAAAGCCAGAAGGAAGCGGCAGUAACAGCAAAGCCAAAAGGAAGCGGCAGCAAAGCAAAAAGGCAGCGGCAGUAGCAAAGGUUUUGUUAUCAGCAGCCGGCAGCAAUUUGGCAGAUUUUGGGUAAAAAUUAGUCAUAAUCGGCGGUAAUGUGUGUGUGUGUGUGUGUGUAUGUGUGUGUUUGUGUUAAGGAUGGCAAUGGAUCGGAUUGUUUGGUUCAAAAUUGUGUGUGUGUGUGAUUUUUACCAAACAAUUUGGCAGAUUUCUGGUUCAAAAUUGCAGAACUAGAAUUGAACCAAACAAUUGUCCAUGUGAUUCGAAUUUAAUUGGAUCGAAUUUGGAUCGGAUUAAAAUUGAUUUGGAUCGGAUUUGGAUAUCGAUACAUGAAUUUAAGGCGGAUCUAGAGCAAAUUCGAAUUUAUCUUAAUAUUUAGAUCUAAAUUUAUGUCCACUCACCAUUUAAUGUAAUUUUAUUUUAAAAAAUUCUUAACAAUUAUGUAAUUAUAAAUGAUGAUAAAAUUUAUUAAUUAGCAUAUAUUUAAAAAUAUUAAAAUUUAAAGGUACUUAAUUGAUAAUAAGACAAAAAUUUAUUAAGUGUAAAAUAAAAUUAAGAUAGCCUGCUCUCAUUUUUUUAAGUUUUUCACUGUACAAUUUAGUCUCUUUUUUUCUGUUUAGUAUACUCUAACUUCUCCACUUCAUUUGAAUGCUUGAAUAAGUUCUUUAAUUGUUAGGAAAAUCCAUAGAUUUGAGUUUAUUUUCUAUCAUUUUCUCAUAAUCUUAUUUAUUUUGUAUAAUCACUAAUCAAUGGUGGCUAUCAACUAUAAAAUAAUUAUGUUAAUCAUAUAUUUAGUUAAUAUAUGAUCAUAAUAAAAAUAAUAAAGCACUAAAAAUAAUAAAUCAUUUUAAACUUAUAUAUUAUUAUUUAAUAAUAUUAGAAUGAUGAUGGUGUGCAGUGGAUAUCAAAAUGGUAAAGGAGGCAUUAGAAUAUUAUAAUGAUCUUAUUCUUGCAAUUACUUUUGAUCGAUAUUUUAUUAUCUUUCUUAUUUGUAUAUUUUGGUGUAAAAGUAGAAGUUACAAUACUUAUUAGAUUUUUUAUACAAAAUAUAUAAUUUAAUUGUUACCAAUGCAUUUUAGUCUUAAAUUUUCUUUUUAAAAAAAUAUUGAUCUUUUAUUAUUGAGAUUUAGAAUUCAUGAUGGAUCUAGAGCAAAUUUGAAUUUGAAUUUUUCUUUUUGGAUUUGGAGCAGAUAUAGAUCUUUAUUUUUUGUUUCGGAUCUAGAUAUGGAGCGAAAAAUAUAAAUCCAUGACGGAUCUGGAGCAGAUACGAAUCUUAAUUUUUAUUACGGAUCUGGAUAUAGAGCAAUAUAGAUUCAAUCCAUACCUGCUCCAUUGCCAUCCCUAGUUUGUGUGUCUGUCUCUGUGUGUGUAUUAUUUCAAAAUUACCAUUGGAUUUCAGUUUGAUUCUAGUUUUACAAUUUUGUACUGCUGGAUGUGUGUAUUAUUUCAAAAUUUCAAAAUUGCCAUUGGAUUUUGGUUCAAUUCUAGUUCUGCAAUUUUGAACCAGAAACCCAACCGAACUAUUCGGUUCGGUGGCGGAUCAAAGCUAUUCGAUUUUUUUAUUAAAGAAUAUUGAAACUGUAAAAAAUCGAACCGAACUGAUUUUUCGAAUCGAUUUUUUGAGUUUAGGUUCGGUUCUGCCCACCACUUUAUCACUCCACUCGGUCUCAUAGGCCAUUCCCGAUUUUGCCAUGGGGAUUGUUUUUUAUUGGGAAAAUAUCCACCGUCCACCUAAUUUUGUCCACUUUUUCAAAAAUACACAAAUCUUAAUUUUUUUUAUUGUACUCCACCUAAAAUAAGGUUUUCUUGCAUUCAUCCACUUCCGUUUGCACACGGUUAAGAGAACUAACGGAAAAUUGAUCAAAUGACUAUUUUACCCUAAAUAUAAAAUUAUAAUUUUACCCUAAAUAAAUGCAAAAAAAAAAAAGUGGCUGGCCGAAACCUUAUCCCAAACCUUAUCUUCAGGCUCGAGCUGCUGGUGGCACGAUCAUCGAUUGAGAUCAAGCUAUUGGUGGCAAAGAAACUGAAGGAGAUUGGUGAGAGGUUGGGUACGUAGUGAAGAAAGAAAAAGGAAAUAUUGUUGGGCUAGGGAAUCUGGGAAAAUGGUGUUGCCUAUUGAAGUUUCGAUGGAGAUUGCUACUGAAAUGUUUAUGGUGGAGUGAAAGCGGUGGAUAAUAAUGGCUGCGGGGCUUGCUGUCAGAGUUUGAGGAGGGUGAUUGGGAGGAGUUGCAAAUGGUUUUGGGGAUAUUGCUCUUUCUUGGCAUGGUAAUGAUGUGAUGUAAUGUGAAGAAAAUGGAUAAACCAGGUAGCCCAUGAAAUAUGGGUGUGUGAAAAUCAAGCUGUUACCCGGUGGGAGGGUGACAUUAUGGACUUCAAGCAGCACCUGAAGGCGACGGUCUUGGUUUUAACAAGACUAUGCAAGCUAAGAAAACGCGUGAUUUCUUUGGUGGUUGGAGAAUGAGGAUUGCAUUGGCGCGUGCACUCUUUAUUAACCCAACCAUUCUGUUGCUCGAUUAGCCCACAAAUCAUCUAGAUCUAGAAGCUUGCGUUUGGCUGGAAGAGACCUUGAAGAAAUUUGACCGCAUCUUGGUGGUGAUUUCACACUCCUAGGAUUUUCUAAAUGGAGUUUGCACAAACAUCAUUCACAUGCAAAACAAGAAAUUGAAGUUCUAUACCGGUAAUUUUGAUCAGUAUGUUCAGACUCGUUCUGAAUUGGAAGAGAACCAGAUGAAACAAAGAAUUUAAUUGUGCUGAAACAAAGCAUUUUGAGAGGUAGGAAGAAGGGUCAAAUGACAAAUUUAUCCCUAUGACAUCAACGAGAUUUUAACAGCGUGAACACGGGAGUGGGUGAGUGUAAGAAAACCUUACUUUAGGUGGAGUGCAGCCAAAAAAAUUAAGAUUUGUGUAUUUUUUAAAAAGUAGACAAAAUCAGAUGGACGGUGGAUAUUUUUCCUUUUUUUAUUUUCAACCCACCGACCACCUGAUUUUUCGCACUUUAUUAAAAAUACACAAAUUUUUUUUUUUUUUUUUGCAACAAUCUACUUAAAAUUUACAAAGUUAUCAUCGUUCCACUUCCGUCGUAACUUCGUUAGAAUAUUGCUGACAUCAAAGGGUUAAAAUUGUCAUUUGAAGUAAACACACUAAAACGAUGACGGAUUCCUCUUGCAAAAACGGCCACCAACUGCUGGGGCGUUGCUAGUACCCCAAAUGCACAGAUCGAAAAAAAAAAUAGAGAUAAAAACACAAAACAUACUCAAAUCAAAAUUUCAAGAACCCAAAUCAUGUCAUGGAUAAUAUUUGAAGGAUUACUGUCGUUGGGCAUCAUAACAGCAAUGCUAACAAUUGCCGACAAUGCGCAGUAUCACAUCCACAAAGCCGCUCACGGAUGCUCGAAGCACGUCGGCAAUGAUGUGUGGUACGUCGCGAUGGAGAGAAGGGACAAGAAGAUUGUGGAAUAGCUCUUUAAUGCUUCCUCCAAUUAGAUGUUGUCUUGCCUUUCCAGAAGCUUUGCUUAUGAAGAUUCAAGCAGAUGCAAUAUGUUCAUUUUCUUAUCUUUUGUACGUGAAUCUAUUUAAGCCUUUAAAUUGUUUUUUGGAAAAACAAAAACUUUGUCCAAUCAUGAAUUUAGGAAAUUGAUUAAGGCUAAUGAGUUUAGUGAAGAGGGCGCAACAGCGGCUGCAAACAAUCUAGGCGGGGAAGAAGGAGGUGUUCUUCUUAAUAUUUGUUAUCUAAUUUAUUUAUUUUAAGAUUUUUUAUAAUUAUUUAGUUUUAAGAUUUUUUUAUAAUUAUUUAUUUUUAUAUGCAACUUCUAUUAUCAAAUUUAUUUAUUAUUAUUUUUAAGAUUUUUAUUUGAUAGUUAUUUAUUAUUUUUAAGAUUUUUUUAUAAUUACCCCUUUGCAACUAAAAGUUUUUUAUGGAUAAAAUAGUCAUUUGAUGAGUAUUCUAUUAAAUACUCUGACAGUAUUAUAACAUGAGUGGAGUGGUGAUACACCUUAUAAACUUCGGGUGGAUUGUUGCAAAAAAAAAAAGAUUAUGUAUUUUUGAUAAAGUACAAAAAAUCAGGUGAUCGGUGUAUAUUUUUCCUUGUUUUUAAGAAAGUGAAAUGCUGCGUUUAAUUCGUGGUCUCCCAUUUUCUCUCUGCAACGGCAACCGUGUUAUUAAACUCCGAUGACUAUGAGACCAGCAACUGAUUUGGCGACUCGGAUCAGCCAAGCAAUAAUCUCCGCUUCGAAUCGCACAAGGCCAGCACGGAAAUGGACCCCAUUACUGGAACAAACUCUCCACCAACUCGGUCUCCGUGACUCACUGAGUCCAUCGCUUGUGGCCCGAGUCAUCAACCCGUAUCUCUUAACACACCACUCCCUCGCUCUUGGCUUCUUCAACUGGGCCUCCCAACAACCCAACUUCACUCACUCCCCGCUCUCUUAUCACUCAAUCCUCAAAUCUCUUUCUCUUUCCCGCCAAAUCAACGCAAUUGACUCCGUCUUAAAGCAAGUCAAAGUUAAUAAAAUAACUCUAGAUUCUUCAGUUUAUCGGUUUAUAAUUCCUUCACUGAUCCAAGGAAAGAAUACCCAGAAAGCUUUUUCAGUUUUCAAUGAAGUUAAGUUCAACUGUGAAGACAUUGGGCCUGAGAUAUGCAACUCUCUGUUGGCUGUAUUAGCUUCUGAUGGAUACAUUGAUAAUGCUUUGAAGAUGUUCGAUGAAAUGUCUCAUAGAGGUGUCGAGUUCAGUACCAUUGGUUUUGGUGUGUUUAUUUGGAAGUUCUGUGAAAAUGCUAAACUGGGUCAAGUUUUAAGCAUGUUGGACGAGGUUAGAAAGAGAGAGAAUUCAAUGAUUAAUGGGUCGGUAAUUGCGGUUUUGAUAAUUCAUGGGUUUUGCAAGGGUAAAAGAGUAGAAGAGGCUUUUAAGGUAUUAGAUGAGUUGAGGAUAAGAGAGUGUAAACCUGACUUCAUUGCUUAUAGAAUUGUAGCUGAAGAGUUUAAACUAAUGGGAUCUGUGUUUGAAAGAGAAGUAGUCUUGAAGAAGAAAAGAAAGCUAGGGGUUGCUCCAAGAACUAAUGACUAUAGAGAGUUUAUUUUAGGUUUGAUUGUGGAGAGACGAAUAUGUGAAGCAAAAGAACUGGGCGAAGUGAUUGUUAGUGGGAAGUUUACCAUUGAUGAUGAUGUUUUAAAUGCCUUGAUAGGUUCGGUAUCGAGCAUUGAUCCUAGGUCUGCUAUUGUGUUUUUUAAUUUUAUGAUUGAGAAAGGGAGAGUUCCGACAUUAUCGACAUUGAGUAACUUGAGUAAGAAUUUAUGUAAGCGUAACAAGAGUGAUGAAUUGGUAGAGGUUUAUAAGGUUCUGUCUGCUAAUGAUUAUUUCACUGAUAUGGAGAGUUACAAUGUGAUGGUUUCAUUCUUGUGCACUUCAGGGAGACUAAGAGAAGCAUAUGGGGUUAUUCAGGAGAUGAAGAGGAAAGGAUUAGAUCCAGAUGUUUCUUUUUAUAAUUCUCUCAUGGAAGCAUGCUGUAGAGAAGAUUUGCUGCGUCCUGCUAAAAAGUUGUGGGAUCAGAUGUUUGCUAGUGGCUGCAGUGGAAAUCUGAAGACGUACAAUAUACUUAUUAGCAAGUUUUCAGAAGUUGGUGAAAUUGAAGGCGCUUUGAGGCUCUUCCACAAUAUGUUGGAGAAAGGAGUGGCGCCUGAUGCUACAACUUACACAUCCCUUCUUGAAGGGCUUUGUCAAGAAACAAAUCUUCAAGCUGCUUUUGAAGUCUUUAACAAGUCUGUUAAUCAGGAUGUCAUGCUCGCACGUAGCAUUUUGAGCACAUUCAUGAUUUCUCUCUGUAGAAGAGGUAUCAAUUCAACUUUCUCUUAUGUUUUGUUUCCUUAUGAGAAGCUAUUUACAUGCUUCAAUUAAGCUUCAUGCAGGUCAUUUUCUCGUUGCUACUAAGUUGCUCCAUGGUCUCAGUUCUGAUUUAGGACAUUCAGACUCCCAUGUUAUCUUGCUGAAAUCUUUAGCUGAUGCCAGAGAGGUUGAAAUGGCCAUUGAACAUAUAAAAUGGAUUCAGGAGAGCUCACCUACAAUGUUACAAGAAAUUUCUGAAGAAUUAUUUGCAUCACUUUCGUCUUCUUCAUACCCAGAGCCUAUUCUUCUGCUGCUUCAUGCAUUGCAGGAAAAAUGCCUAGAUUCUGAAAUUGGUGCUGGUAAGGGAUGCAGCAGAUCAUAACCUGGGUGGUAGUCGGGUAUCCUAGUGGCAGGAUGAGUAAUGCUCCCAAGUCAGUGACUAUGUUUUAUGUUUUAGUAUCUGGCUCAUUGGUGCAACUAAAAACAGUAACCAAAAUGCAGAUUUUUCUGCAGUGACGGUGUACAAUAUGUGGAAAUUAAGUCUAUUAAUUGUCUUCUCACUUCUAAGGGACUCCUUCCUACACAAGGCUAUUAAUUGUCGUCCUCCUUUACAUGACUGUGACUUCCUACAUUCUGUCUGUUGUUGCACCACCAAUAUUGUGGUAUUGCCCAUAAAAUCUGCUGAAGCUAACACAUCACCUAUCAUUCCCAACUCUCUGAACUCAUUCCAAAAUGUCAGCCCUGACCUGAUUGGUGAUAGAUUGUCAUGAUUCUUUCCCACCAUUGCAAGUUCAUAAUUGUUCUCCAUGGAUUUGAUCUCAGCCACAGCCCCUACACAAUCCACAGCCACCCUCUCUGUAUAUUACACGAUAGUUUCCUUCUUUUAGAUAUGGUAUUAAACAGGACAACUGAGACCAGGCUGUGACUGCUUUGCUCAGAGAAUCUGAAGAUACUGACCAAGUGUUCAAAUAUAGAGGGACUUUGGUCUGUGAAAAGUGAGUUUGCACGUCCGGCAAGCACAAUGAAGUGGAGGAUAUAGAUGGUAAUAGGGCUUUGAUGGGUGGGACUUAAAAAGUAUUGAGGACAUUGAUGGCAAUAGGAAUAUCCUCUUGGUCGUCUAUGCAAAACUAGUAGCCGAGGUGAUGAGUCAGGCUUGGAAUGAAUUACAGGCCUUCUCGUGUAAACUACAUGCCUCCUUGAAGGAUCAUGGAGAUGUCCUAUGAAGGGUGUGAUGGCACCAGUUACAAGCAGCAGCGUGAAAGCGCACAUGAAAAGAGUCGUUAUCUACUGCCAGCAAUAAUAAUAGGAAACCAAGUUUUCAGACUUUUAGAUAAUUGUCAUUCUUCAAUACCUGUAGCCGUCCGUCUAUAUUACAUAAUUACGGUAGCAAGAGAUGGACAAUUAUUCAGAAGUACAAAGAUGAAAAUAUAAUGAAAAUAAGAGCUCCCGAUUUAACGCGUAAGCCCAUGGCGUGACUGCAUAAACCUUCCACCAAGAAUGCUAUAACUAUUAUUAUUGUAUUUUGUACAUUCAGGAUUGAUGCAGUAGAAUCGAAGCUGCUAUCACAACGAAACUGCGGAAGAAACUUACCACGAAGAAGAUAAAGCAGAGUUUAUGAUUAGACGAGCUCAUUGAGGGAGUAAGCUAAUAUUGGGAAGGAGAGCAUGGAUUCUACUUGCGCUAACCUUCAUGAAGACUUAAAAGAACAGCCGAUGUUUGGCAACCAUUGGUACCGCGAAGCAUCUGCUAUUUCGUCCAUUUUCUGAAUUAUCCACGAAUCAAUUUGCAAUCCAAUAUGAAAGAAGUAAAGCAUGAAUCCUAGAGAAGCAGAAAUAUUUAUCUUGGGGGUGGAAACAAGUUUGUACAUUCAGGAAUCUGUCCUAGGAGUGCCCACCCAACCUUGGGUUUACCAAAAACAAAAAAUAAAAGUAAAAAAAAAAUGAAACAAUUAUUUCUUUUAUUAGUAUAUGCAACUCUACAAAAGAAUUUUGAAUUUUCUCUAUCCCAUCUACACAAGCUAGACCUCAUUUACGUUUUACUGUAUACAUUGAGAAUGGCAAGGCAGUGUAGAAAACAAAAUCAGCUACCGCAUCUCCAAACAAAAAAGAAUGCAAAAACAACGAAAAUCUAGAUACUUGAACUAUUCAACUGUACAGAAUCCUUCUAUACAAAGAAUGCAGAAAAUCACAAUGCAAUAUAUGUACAUCUUGUAGCUGGUCAAUCUUCAAGGCGCUGAAUUUCACCCAUCAUGAUCCGGUUGCUAGAAACUUUAAAUCCAAGGAGAGCGGGAUCUAUCUGCCUUCCUUUCUUUCCUUUCUUUUUGCCACCCCGCCCACUUGGUGCACCAUCAGAUGACUCAAAAGCAGCCCCAUUUGAUGGAUCUGCUUCUGGAUGAACUGGUUUCUUAAGCAUGUCUAUGAAUGAUGUCUCCGAGACUGCUGCAUCACUGAAAGAUGAGGUCCUCCUAAAUCGCAGAUCUUUCUUGCCAGUUUCAGAGACUCUGGCUCCUACUGGAUUAUUAACAGAUUCCCGCUUUCCUUCUGAAAGUUACCACAGCCAUAAAUGAACUAAUAGUCCAUAACCAAAAAAAUUAAAAGCAGAGUGACUGAAACACAUUUUAUACCAUCAGAUGCAAGGGAAGCUGAACUUUUCUGCUUGACAAUUGGAGCAGCAGUUGGCUCAUCCUGGGAAGAUGAAGCAACUCUUGUUACAGUUGGGCGUUUGUUCCAAUCAUUGUCAAGCCCUUUGGGUAACAUGGUGGGUAGCCUGUCAACAAAAAAUGACUUCUUUAUCAACAUGGCUAAGGGAGUGAACAGUUGCAAAACAUAGCACUAGCCACUAGCUACUCCAAAAUCACUGAGCAAAACUAUUCCAACAAUAGUGAACAGCAGCUCUUUUUUUUUUUUUUUAAUGAAAAACGGUGAUUUACACAGUACAAAUACAUCCGCCCUGCUGUACCGUACAUCCCCUUGGCCGUACAGCAGAGAAGGAAGCAAAGAGCCAUCAGCAGGCAACAGCAAACCCAAAAAUGAAGCGACGACAAAACCAAAGCCAGAAGGAAGCGGCAGUAACAGCAAAGCCAAAAGGAAGCGGCAGCAAAGCAAAAAGGCAGCGGCAGUAGCAAAGGUUUUGUUAUCAGCAGCCGGCAGCAAUUUGGCAGAUUUUGGGUAAAAAUUAGUCAUAAUCGGCGGUAAUGUGUGUGUGUGUGUGUGUGUAUGUGUGUGUUUGUGUUAAGGAUGGCAAUGGAUCGGAUUGUUUGGUUCAAAAUUGUGUGUGUGUGUGAUUUUUACCAAACAAUUUGGCAGAUUUCUGGUUCAAAAUUGCAGAACUAGAAUUGAACCAAACAAUUGUCCAUGUGAUUCGAAUUUAAUUGGAUCGAAUUUGGAUCGGAUUAAAAUUGAUUUGGAUCGGAUUUGGAUAUCGAUACAUGAAUUUAAGGCGGAUCUAGAGCAAAUUCGAAUUUAUCUUAAUAUUUAGAUCUAAAUUUAUGUCCACUCACCAUUUAAUGUAAUUUUAUUUUAAAAAAUUCUUAACAA